rnacentral:lncRNA from 1 species
UCCAUUCCUCGAGCUCCAGUUCUUUAUGACAAACUCCCAGAAGGCACAAGCCUCCUCAUGAGUUAGUUGGUGGCCAGAAGCUUCCCAUGACUUCCAAAUCUCACAAUAGUCGUCAAUAGAGGGGUUCAAUUUUACUCCGUAGGUAAGAGAGAAAAACAUCAGCAACUUAUUAUCUUUAUAGUGCUUCUCCAGAACAUGCAACCGCGCUCCCAAUAAACCAUUUUUGUCAUGGAUGACACAGUCUUCAGAGCUUACCCACUGACCAUUAUCAGUACCACUGGGGACCCAAAUUCUUUUGUUGUCCUCGUCAUCGGGCUUCCAGUUGAAUUCAAACAAAUAGUUAUAUAUUCGGCUCACAGUGGUGAAACUAGAAUGGAAGUCAAGGUAAUCUGCCAUCAAAGAACAGCCAUUUCUGACAUCAACAAUUACUCCCAGAGAACGAAGCUCAUUUUUGUAUUCUGUAAUUCUGGAACCAUAAAAGUCUUCAUCAAGGAAAGGCCCGUCACUCCUUUCUAAUAAACGAGCCCAAUCAGGACUGAAGAGCAAGCACCUCUUUGGAGUGUUGAAGCCUGAAUAUGUUUUUAGCCAUUUUCUCCCUAUUUUUUCAACAAAAGUUGAUGGAAAAAGUUCCUGAUUCUCCAGCUUGUGGUUCUCCGGUUUAUAAUUACGGAUACAGUCCAGCAACGAGUACACAUUUUCAGGAGUUAUGCUGCUAGAAUCCUGUGGCAAAUAAAGGCCAUUCACAACAAAAUGUGCUCCAUCUUUAAAAGAAGAAACAACACCCAUACUCUUGAGCUCCUUUUCAUAUUCAUGGAUGGUUGCCCCAUAAUGAGUAUCACUAUCAUCAAUGAAUGGGAGCAGGGAGAUUGAUGAGAUAGAUUUCCAACAUUGGCUAUAAAGAAUGCAAUCAGCAGGCACCCUAUAAUCACCAAGUCGAGUACGCAACCACUUGACCUCACGAAUACACUUCUUUAAAUUUGAUGGAAAGGUGGAGCUUUUUGGUUUUUUGUAGUAUUGCAGAAGUGCAAGAACAUUGUCCUUGCCAAUGGAGUGCAACGACGCUUGCUUCCUGAAAACAUCUUCAAAUUUUUUCGAUGCCUCAUCUAAAUCAACCACUAGCCCAAUUUGCUUUAGUUCACUUUUAAAGGACAAUAUUUUGCUUCCAUAGAAAUUUUCAUCUAUGAGCGGGAAGCAACUAAAAACCUGUAAAAGACAUCCCCACUCGGAGUCAGGCAAAUAGCAUUCAGCAGGAGAUUUGAACCCACCAUUCGUUUUGAUGCAUUUCUUAUCCUUCAGAGCAUGAACCAAAUUGCUGGUUGACCUCAAAUGCCGGAGGCAAUUCAGUAUCAAAUAGAGAGCAUCAGCAGAAAGAGAACUUAAGCAAUGCGAAGAUUUCAAGUUGUCACUAACAAGUUGGUAGUUGCCAUCAAAGUUCACUCUCACACCAAUCAGCCCCAGUUCUACUUUAUAAGACAUCAGAUUAGCUCCAUAAUAAACUUCAUCAAUAAGUGGAAUAUUACUAACUUCCUUAGCAGCUUUCCACUCCUCGUUGUAUAAAACUGACUCAUCUGGGCUUCUAUCACCUUGAUUUGUUCUUAGCCAUCGCCCACCUUUGAUGCUAUUAAUAAAUUCUGCUGGAGAAAGUAAUUUAAGCCUCAAAAACUUGAUGAAUUUGAGUAUCGAAAGGACGUUAUCCCUGGAUAAGUUAGAAGAUGCUGCAAUAGACAUCAACUGAUUUCCUAUAAAUCUGCAUGCUUCAUUUACCUCAAACAUCACCCCUACAACUCUCAGCUCCUCCCUGUAAUCCAUUAUCUUCUGGCCAUAAAAUUGCAUAUCAACUUCCGGGAUGUCAACAAGCUCAGAUUCUCGCUGUAAGAUAUGUGCUCCUGAUGACGAGAACAUAAAUGACUGUGACGGAGGUCUGUAGCUGGAACUACCAUUAAGAGAAAUUUUCAGCCAGCUACCUUCCUUAAUGCAAGACAAGAAUUUUUGGGGUAUGUUAAUCCCUUUCCUUCUCAAGUAACGAAUCCAAUCCAGUAACAGAAACACAUUUUUCCUGGUUAAAGGAGCUGACAUGGUUGGGAUUACAGCAUCUGGAGGAGAUAUGUUGGGUAUAUCAAAAGCUGGAACAUAAGUUUUCAAGAAACUAAUCAACUCUCUGUUAGCUGUGUGAAUACCAACAUAGCUCGCUGGUUGCAGAUAGUCUUUUCCAAGCUCAACAUAUCCUUCAGUUCUCCAUGGAUUAGUACCAAUCAGCUCUACCCAGUUACUUCCGUUGGCAGGCAGAAGUACAUGUCUCCUCUGCCCCAUCAUCCGCCCAUAACUAUCAACAAGAGGCAUGCUACCACAUAUUUCUUUAACAUUCUGCUCUGACAUAUACUUCUUUGCAAAUGUGUGAUAAACAAAAUGACAGUAUGCUAUUGCCAGCUCCUUAUCAUUACUUAUCAACCUGUUGAGCAGAAGUGCAUAAUCAUAAACACUCACCGCUUUGACAUUAGCUUGGUCUGAUAGCCAAUCAAGUAGGAUCCGCUUUUUACUCAGCAACCCAAUAGCUUGUUGGGUUGAAAUUGGCAUGAACAAGUGAUCUGUUGCACCUCUGAACUCCCUACUCCAGUUGAUUAACCAGGAUGCAUAACGAUCCUCCGUAGAUUUGAACAGCUUUCCACCAGAAUACUGAGAUACUUCACCAACACUAGUCAGGGAAACAGUGCCAUGAAUAUCUACGUACUUCAAGAUUGAUGCAUUCUUCAUGUUGGUGCUGUAAAAACUAGAUUUCCAAUUCUCAGCUACGAAAAGGAGAAGCUCCAAAUAAACAUCCUCAGACACACCCAAUAUAAUAUUCGAACUCUGGAUACAUUUAGCAUACCAAUCAUUUCCAACAAAUUCCACUCCCAUGAAUUCCAGAAUUUGAUCAUACUCCUUUUUGUCAAAUGAAGAACUUAAAAUAUAAGUGCCAUGCGAGGAGAUGUUAUCUAAGGCUACACCUUGCCCCCUAGCCUUAUCCAGAAUAUUCCAAAAGGCUGGCAAAACCCCACCAACUUCACACGGUUUAUGAAAAAACCUCUGUUCGGAGUAUGAUUCACAAGGAACAAUACUUUGGUUUAAUAUCUUCUGCUUAAUCGACUCCCUCACAGCAUUCAACUCCGUGAUGGGUCCUUUAUUGACUGGCAAAAAACCAAACAUACGAGGCAGAGUUGAAAUGGGAGCUUCUGUAUCUUUCACGAGAGAAGUAAAGGCACUGAUAAAAGCAGUAGAGACACAGUCAAGAAUUCCUUUAUUCCAUUUGUUAUCCAAGAGGAUAUUUUCCCUUGAUGAUGCUAAGAUAAAAUCUGCUUGUAUAAUGAAAGGGAAGUUCGUCACCAUCUCAGUGGGUAAAAACGCAUAAAUCCCUGGGGACUGCAUUCCUCUAAGAAGACGCUUUCCACUAGGAAAAGCUAGAGUAAUUACCCAUUCUUCUACCUCCAUCCUUCUUUCGACUUUGUGAUCUUUCUUCACCGGAAAUCUUUGCCUCCACAUAUGAUAUCCACAUUCUUUUUCUAGAUCAUCAUCACCAGUGUCAUCGGCAGAAAGAUGGAGCAUAUAAGAUUCUGCAUCAAUGUUCUUCCUCGUGACAAAAUUUGUCUCGCUUGAAAUAGAAAUUGCACUCACAGUGUUAAGUUUGGAAUCCUCAUUGUCUUCUCUAACCGAGAGCCGCUUAAUCUUCGUAAGAAACAACAGAAUCUCCGGAUGAAUGUUGGAGAGCUGAUUCUUCACAGGUUUGACCUUGUCAGCUUUCAGAGGCAAUAUUAUUGUUGUGGUGGGAAGAGCGGUACCAAUUCCGUGGAUGCUUUCAAUGACUGAAAGAGUUGGAUUCGUCUCAACCCACUCAGGAACUAUAUAUCCCACAUUACAAUGUGGACAGGGUCCUUCAGUGAAUCGUAUCUGAUAGCCAUUACUAAAUAUGUAAGGCUGAGCAGUGAUCAGGAAAACGCUCUUGAAUCCGAUUCCUGAAAUUAAUCAAAAACUUUAUCAGAACACAUCCAAAGAUGCAUACAUAAAAGAGAAUAUGCCAUCUGAAAACCAUAAUAAAAUUCAAAAUCAUAAAACACUAACAACUCAAUUAAUGUCGGCAGAUGAAAAACAUGAAGUUCAACAGGAUAUGACAGCAUAUUCAGCUUUGGGACACAUUGAAUUUGAACCUUUGAACGUAAUUCAGGGUGAAAUAGUUGCAAACUGACAUGCUAGUCUACAGAAUUUAACAGAGAAAAAUUACAUACGAAAAUUACGAACUCAUAUCAGUCUGCUGCACCAUUGAAGGUUUUAACCGUACUAAGUUGUGGUAAAAAAAAGAGAGAAUUAUUAUAAUUAUAAUUGAUAAAAGAAUCAUAAAUAGCAACAGUUUAAGACACAAUAAAACCUGAAAAAAUACUGCAUUAAGAGUCGACAUGAUCAAGAACUAGUGUGACAAAAUUUCAGUAAGUACCUUUUUCACCAAUAUAACCACGCCUGCGAUUCCCUUUCUUGGUGGAGCGUCCAACACUGCAGAUGGACUCGAUAUUCCUGGGGGUAAAGCCUCGCUCAUUGUUGAAUAUCAGUAACGUAGCUGGAGCCCCUGUAGCAGUUAUGUCUCGAGAAGUUACUACAAACUCUAAGGAAGGAUCCACUCCUUCCGGAUACUCAUUGUCUUCAGCAUUCUGCAGCAAAAAUCAAAUCUGUAACAUACUAUAUACAACACUAUAGUAGAUCUAGUUAAAGUAGCUAAGCUGAAAACAACUAGCACCACAACAUCUAUGCGAUUAUUUUUUAUAUAACAAUUCUUGUAGCUCGGCCUAAGAUUUUCAACACUGUUUUUUUUAUUAACUCUUUAUAAUCUUCAAGAAAAAAUGGUUUUUUGAAAACAGAGAGCUCUGUGCUUACUGUGGAGACAGUGUUCCACUUUAUUGCUUAACAGAUAAAAUAGUUUAACAGGCCGCAAACACAUUUUUUACUAAGACUCUAAUGUGAAAUAAAUCUUAUCAUGACUAAACUUUCCAAUCAAUAAAGCCAUUAGUUAAAAAUCCUAAUUCUUUUCACUGAGCCUCGUUUACAUACAUGAUCCACUAAAAGCAGAGAUGAUCUAGCAGAUCAUGUAAGCAAUCGACACUCAAGGAAAGAUCCUAGUUACUUCACAGAGCCCCUGGAGAAAAAGUGUCUUGCCUAAAUACUUUAUCACAAUUUUACAUCAUUUAACUACGAGGAAAAAUAUAAAAGUGUCCCAUAAAAUCAAUAUAUAUUUAUAAAGGAGGAUGUGGGCGUCUCUAGAAUUGUUCGAUUCAGUCUUCUGAUUUUUUUUAAAUUUCGGAUAGAAAAUAUUUUCAUAAUUCAAAAAUUCAGGUUUAAUACAGUUCUAAAGGUAAUACAAUUGGACAAUGUUCUAAAAAUCUCUGAUUAAACCUUUUAAAAAAAUCAUUAUUUUAUUGAUACCACUCUGAUUUAACUAAAAAUUCCCAAUUUAUCUGAAAAAAUCAACGAUAAAUCUCCUAUAAAUCCUAAACCCUAAACCGGAAGGUUAAAUUCACAAUUUCUGCAACUUUGUAGAAAUUUGCCUAAAAAAUAUCCGAUAAAUCUCCUAUAAGGGUGUUUUAUUCAAAAUUUACUUUGUGGCCCCAAAAAUAUUAACAUCCCAGGCACCCUGACCCUGAGUCCAAAAAUAAUGUACAAGCACUUAGCACAAUCAGUUUACACAACAAUCUUACUGGUGUAAUUCGGGCCGAGCGAGCCGAAUUUCAAGCCGCGCGUAAUUCGAGCCGAUGUUAAUCGAGCCGAGCCGAACCGUCUCGUUUAACUAAUCGAGCCGGUUUUAGCGAGUCGGGCGAGCGGCUCAUUUAAUUUUACAUUUAAUCGAACCUAAAUCUCUACCCGAACUCGGCUUGUUUAAUUUUACGAGUCGAGUCAAGCCGGCUCGUUUAAUUAAACGAACUGGAACCUUUGCCCGAGCUCGGCUCAUUUAACUAAACGAGUCGAGUCGAGCAUAGUUAAACGAGUUCGAGCCGGGCGAGCUCGCGAGCAGACUCGAAUUACAGCUCUAAAUCUUACAAUACUAUACAUAAAAAAUCAUGACAUGCAUGCAUGAUCAACUUCAAUAAAACUAUACAGAGUUGCAAAAAAGAGUGUAAAAAAAGAACCUGAAUAAGCUCCAUGAGAAAAUGAACAUCCUUAGCAUAAAGCUCGCCAGAGAGAUUCAUUACAGCCUGAUGCAGAUCCUCCGUGAGGGGAUUCGGGUCUCCUCCGAUAGAAAACUUGGUCUUGCGUAUCUCUUCAAUGUGCUCUCUCGGUGUGGCCAUUGCUAGCACAAUAUCAAAUCUUCAGCUACACUAUAUUUUUUUUUUUUCAGAUGCUACAAAAAGAAAGGAGUGAAGAUGUUAAAGAAGUGGCAAGAAGAGUGGGAAUAUAAAGAAAAGAAACCCUGGUGACUAAGCAAAGGGAAAGUUGGGGGAAAUUAAAGGAAAGUUGUACGAUGAACAUUAUUAUGGGACUUUUGGUUUUGCAUGACUUCGAGGGGAAGUUUAGGAGUCGUCUGUUGAGUGUUGACUGUUGAGGUCUUCGUUUGGUCUUCUCGUCUCCACUGUGUCUUGAACACUUGCUUUUCCAAGAUUCACUCGGAGAUAUUGUUGGUUUUAGCCUGUUUUGACGGUUGGGUUAAAUGAUGUAGUUAUAGUUAUAAUUUAAUAUUGAUGAUAUAUUUUUAUUUAAAUUUAAUUUAUUUUUUGAAUAUUUAUUUUUUACAAUAUAAAUUUAAGUAUUGAAGCUAAUUUUACAUAAGAACGUCAUUAUUUUCAUUUUUUGAUGUAAUAAUAACUGUACAUAUUCAUCUAUCUUUUGUUUUAUAUUUAGAAUAAAUAAUUUAUUUGGGAACUCAAUUUCAUUUGAAAUUUUAUAUUUAAACAAAUAAUGCACUGGUAUUAUUUUCUUAGAGCAAGUCCAACAGUGUCCUAGUUGGAGCCCUAAAUAUAAUAUAAAAAAUGAUGUCCUGGUAAUUUAGGACAUAUUCUACCAACUUCAACUCCAACAAUGUGCCUUAUUUUCACUAUAUGUUUAAUAUUUUAUUAUUAAAAGUUUAAUUUCAUCAUUAAAAGGGCAAGGAGAGAGUGCCUCAAAAAUAGGGCUUGGAGGGGUUGUCCUAGUGAUAUAAGGCAUCACUAGGACAUUGUUGGAGCAACCUUUUUUAUCAAAUGCCCUAAAUUUUAACUUAGGACAUGAUAUAGGGUUUCUCUUGGACUUGCUCUUAGGAAAUGAGCUGUGUCUUGCACGGGUUAUCAUGCUAGUUUAGAAUGAUUUUUAAACAUUCAAAGGAAUCAAACAAAAUUGUAAAUGGUGAUUUAUCAUAGAAAAAAGAGACGAAAAAACAAUUUUAAAAUCGAUGAGUAAAUUUUAGAAUUCUGUUAGGGGUGAGAAAAAGAGAGAUAAUGUAAUAUAUUAAUAUUAUUAUAAUAUCAAAAUACAUCCAAUUAUUAUUUCAAUAAUUAUUAUCAUUAAUUUUAGGUUAUUUGCAGAUGUCACAAUUUAUUAUGUAGGGCUCUUCUGCGCAAUGGUAAGAGUUUCAAUCCCAACAAACUUAGGCCAUAAUUAAACUAAUUAUCUUACAAUUUUUAAAAUAAAAAUACAGACUUGAAAAUAAAAUCUGACUACAAGAAAAUACUAAAUAGCAUUGCUCAGGUAACAUAUAUGUGUAACAGACGUUGUGACUUGUGAUAGGCCUUCUGUGGCACAGCAAGCAACAGUAUAUUCGCCGUCUGAUUUAUGUCGCCACACGUAGAUGAUGGACGUGUGCAAUCUGUACGAUACGGUGCUAUAGCAGUCCCGAUUAGGCCUGUCAAUGGAUCGGGUUUGGAUCGGAUCGACCUUAAUCCAUAUCCAUAUCCAUUUAUUUUAUCGGAUUCGGAUUCGGAUCGGAUCGGGACCGGAUUUUUUUUAGGCCGAUCCAUAUCCAUAUCCGUUCGGAUCUCGGAUCUCGGAUCGGAUAUCCAAUCCAUUUACUUACUAAUAUAUAUAUUUUUAAAUGACUUUAACAUUAUCUAAAAUGCAAAUAAAACAAGUAAAUAACAAUGUUAAAAUUUAAAUUACAAAGUCAAACAUUACAUCCCUAGUCUCAAAACAAAUUACAAACUAAAUUAUUUAUAAAUAAAAUUUAAAAGGAUUAGCAAGCUUCCACUCCAGGACUAGAUGCAUAGCACAAUGCUUAGCACAAAGAGAAACCACACCAGUACCAUAUCUUUGUUACACCUGUUAAUUCAAAUAAAAAUGAAUUUAUUAUUUACAUCAUGAUACAAGCAGUAGGUAACUCAACAUAAAAUCUUGAAAUUUUGAUACAACUUUAAUGCAGAAACACAAGCCUGCAGAAAGACAAGCCUGCUGUGGAAAGUAUAUAUUUAUUUCUAUCUUCUGUGCUUUUAUGUAUUUAAACACCUAAAUAUAAUAAAUAUAUUAUUAUAUAAUAUAUAUAUAUAUAUAUAUAUAUAUUAAUCGGAUCGGGUUAUAAACGGAUCGGAUCACCCUAAAUCCAUAUCCGGUCCCUUUAUAAUCGGAUUUUUUUAAUCGGAUCGAAUUUCGGAUCGGAUAUUUUUUUAUCAAAUCCAUAUCCGCUAAAAUGACCUCGGAUCGGAUCGGGUCGGAUCGGAUUUUCGCUCCAUUGACAGGCCUAGUCCCGAUGUCAUGAUAACUCAUACAAAGAGUUAAAAAAAUUACAUAAUGAUUCGUAUUUAUAUUGAAAUAAAACAAAGUUAAAAAAAUUAUAUGAAAGUUUUUGUUAAAAAAAUAUUCAUAGAUUAUUGGUUUUUCUAGUGUGUGGCCAUGGGCACAUACUAGUACUAAAAUUCAUGAAUUUGUAAGGGUUUAAUUGGCUUACCUCUCUAAUAAUGGUGAACCCCUGCAUUCACCAAUCAAAACUCCCCAAAUUUAUGGAUUUCAGUGAUUAACAUGUGUUCAUGGACACACAGACAAACCCAUAAAUAAUUAUAACAUCGGUACACAAUAAGCACUAAUUCUUAUGAGUUUGGUGCAUUUUUAUUGGUUAUCUAAUCAUAAAUAAGGAUGACCCCCUACAUAUACAUCAAGUCCACCAAUCAAAAUCCACCAAAUUUAUCAAAUUUAGUGCUUAAUGUGUGCUCAUGGGCACACACUAGAAAGACCUUUAUAACAGAGCUAUUAACCAAAAAACCCAAUCAACGACCAGAGUAUUAAUUAGCUUCAUAAAUGUCACAUUUAAUAAAAACACGUAAACGUGUUGUCCGUUCAUAAAUAUCACAUUUAAUGAAAACACGGAAACGUGUUGUCCGUUGAAUUGCAUUUUCGAUACGAUCUCUGGUAUACAGAGUACUAUAGCAUUUGGAAAUAUACCAGCAUCGUUUAACACCUUGCUCAAAUCCAGUGCGCUGACUUCUCGUAUAUGAUAUAAACGAGAACCUUUUAAUUUUUGAACAACUAAAUUGUGAAAAUGAGAACUUUUAAAUUUUAAAUUUUUUUACGAAAAUCUGAAAAUAAAUUAAUUAUUACCUAUUUAAUUUAAACUAUUUAAUUAAUCCAAGUAAAUUUCUUAAAAUGAACUAUUCAUGAAAAUUUUAACAAUUCGAUUGAUUCAAUUAAGUUAAAGCAAAACAAAACAAAAAAAUCGAACACUAUACAUAAACCUAAGCAGCAGUGUCAGAAAAGAAAGCAAAACAAAAUAAGAACAGAUGCCACAAACAGGUUUCAAAGAAACGCAGCAGCCCGCAAGGGUUGGUUCAACUGGUUGGACAAGUAUCCUCUUGAUCACAGGUUUGACUGCCGAAGGAAGCAGAAUUUGUGAUUAUGCUGGAUCAGAGCGGUUUACCUUGUUCACCGGCUGCGGGUUCNAAAAAAAAAAAAAAAAAAAAAAGAAACGCAGCAGCAACCACACUAAACGCAAGCAACCAAGCAACGUAUUCUGAUCGCCCGGGCUAGAAUAUUCUGAAUGACGAUAGUUCACAGAAGCAACUUAUGUAAAACUUCUUGUUCCCAUAUAAAGUUUACUGAUAACACAAAUUCAAGACUAAUAUUUAACCCCUCCAAUUAUUUUUCAAAAAUACUUUUAUUAAAGCGAUCCGUAUUUAUUUGAUUUUAUAAUUUUUUGUCACAAAUUUAACAUAUUCAUCAUUUAAUAUUUUAAAAAAGAUUCUUUUAUUUUUUAUUGAUCUUUCAAAAACAACAAAAAUUGAAAUAGAAUAUUUUUUUUAGAAAAAUAGACAAUCUCAUUCUUUAAACAGUUGCGUUUAACAUCUUCCGUAAAAUUAUUUCAAAUAAAAAAAUAUUAGAACAAUUAUCUUUAUAUUAUUGUUAAAAAAUAUUUAUUAAUCGUAUAUUUUCUGAUAGGUCAACUGAGUCUUGAUAUACAUUAAAUAAAAUAAUUAACAUAAGUGUAUCGAGUAUAAAGAAUUAUUAUAUAUACAUAAAAUAAAAUAAUUCACAUAAGAGUAUCGAGUAUAAAUAAUUAUUAUUAUAUUUGAAAUAUAUGAAUAAUAUGUAUAUAUGAUAAUAUUUUUUUUUUUUAAAAAGGAAAAUAAUUCAAUAAUGAAAAGCCAUACGGCAUCUACAGAUAUAAUCGAAAUUGAACAAACGCAGAAUCAUAUCGCCGUUGAAUCCUUCCUUCUUCGGUAGGCAACCAAGCGAUUUUUUGAAGAGAUAUAUACAUGCUGUAAUAUUCUCAAUGUUGUUUUGAGCAAUCGACCAUAAAUGCAUCACCAUACAAACCUUUAUCAUUGAAUCAGCAUCAUGAAAAUCCCGCAGAUCUGUAAUCCCGGACAUGAUGAACACACAAAACCCAAACAAAAAUCAAACUCUCACAUAAGGAGAGACCAAACAAAACCCAAAUAAAUUGGGAACUUAUUGAAGAAAACAAAAGAUUAAUUAAUAGUAAGAAAAGAAGACAAUAAUGGGGCUUUCCACCGGUGAAAUCCGAUGGAAGCCCCUCGGAUAAAAGAGACGGCGGCUAGGUGAGAGAAAUUUAGGGUUUUGUGAGAAGAGAGUGUUUUUUUAUAUGAUAAUAUAUUUUAUAAAUAAAUAAUUGAAUUCAUUAAAUAAAACUAUGUUUUUCAAGAUUAAUAACACCUAAUUUUUUUUUUUUUUUUGAAAAUAACACCUAAAUUUUAUUUAGUCCCCAGAUAUCAAUAAUUUCUAGUUAAAAGUUUUAACACUUUAUUGAAAUUUAACAUUGAUAGAACAGAAAAACAUGACAGAGAAAAUUGUUAUGUGCACCUGACAGUGAUUGUAAUAUUAUACUCCCUCCGUCCCCUUUUACAUGUCCCUUUUGAAAAAAAAAUUUGUCCCAAAUUACUUGUCCACUUCUCUUUUCAAAGCAACUUUUUGUAUGUUUUUUCAAAAUGUAACAACUUCCAAUGUUUGACUAGGAUAUAUAUAUACACAACUCUAUCUAAUUCAUUACAUUUAUUAGGGAUAUGUAUGAAAACAAGAUAUUCACCUAAUAUUUUCUUAAGAUGCGUUAUUUUUUCAAAAGAGACAAGUAAAAAGGGACGGAGGGAGUAUAGUUUUAGUAAUUUUGUGGACUGUUCAGGCUGAAAGAAGAUAAUUUGACCCGGGUUGGGCUUUACAAGUAAUUAAAUGUUAGUCAUAAAAUUUUAAAAAUCAGUUUAACCACUCGGGCUAAGGCCCACCGGAGCCUGAACUACAGUCCGUUCCUGCUGGUACAUACUCAACACUCAAACAGAUAAUAAUAUAAACAACAUAGCAAGCAAAUUCGAACAGGAAAACAAGUGGACUCAGAAAUCAGCUACAGCUACUAGGACUGAACAACACUCGACGCAACUCGAUCUUGAAAGAAAAGCACCAAGAUAAACUAUAACUAAAACUGUUUGACGCAACUCAGGAGCAGAAAAUUACUACCACAAAAAAAAAAAAAAAAAUCCAAACAAACAGACUUGUGACUCGGACAAACGAACUCGGUACUCAGCGACUCGAUUCGGAAACGUGAAAGAAGCAAAACAGAACAGUGACUCGGUAAAAGAAAAAUGACUCGGUUGCUUUAAAUAUUAUCCGGAAAUAUAAAAUUUACCGCUGAUUAAAUUUCAUAUAUAAUACACGUACCUUUCUUCUGAAAUCCAUGUCAUUGACCCCUGAUGAUAGUGUAAUUCAGGCUUUCUCCAGAGUCCAUGAAAAAUGAAUUGCUGGCUCACAUAUUCUUGCAGACAAAUACGACCCUACAUGCUACAAUAGUAAGGAUUCAUUCUUACACCAAUUCAUAUUAGGGAUUUUUGCAGUAAGCCAUGGUCACCAAAAGUAACAAAAACAGUAAUUUGUUCAUUCUCAAUCAAUUUAAAUGUAGGUAGUUCGAGAUGUGAUACGCAACUGUUGAAUGUUGGUUAUUACAAUGUGUUUUGUGUAACCUAACAUUCAAAAGUUGACUAUCUCAUCUCGAACUACUUACCUUUAAAUUGAUUGAGAACGAACGAAUUAAUGUUUUUUACUUUUUGUGAUCAUAGAUUACUGUAAAAAUCCUGAAUAUGAAUUAGUAUAUGAAUGGAUCCCUUACUAUUGUAGCGUGGAGGGUCAUAUUUGUCUGCAAGAAUAUGUGAGCCAGCAGUUCAUUUUCCAUGGACUCUGGAGAAAGUCUGAAUUACACUAUCGUCGGAGGUCGAUGACAUAGAUUUUAGAAUAGAGGUACGUGUAUAUAGAGAGAUACGUGUAUUAUAUACGAAAUUUAAUCAGCAGUAAAUUUUAUAUUUUCGAAUAAAUUUUAUAUUUUGAAUAUAUAUUACUCAUUCAUAUUUACAACAAACUUAAUACGGUCAUACAAGAAGUCAACGCACAAGAUUUGAGCAAAAUGUUAAACAACGCUGGUAUAGUUGCAAAUGCUAAUACUCUGUAUACCAGAGAUCGUAUUGAAAAUGCAAUUCAACAGAGAUCAGAUUUCUGUGUUUUCAUUAAAUGUGAUACCAAUUUAGCUAAUGCUCUAAUCCUGAAACAAGUACGCCUUUGUACGAGUUAUCAUGUCAUGGAAAAUGUUAUAGAAUCGCAUCGUACACAUUGCACACGUCCAUCAUCUAUGAUCUCUGGAUAUGUUGCCACACGUAGAUGAUGGACGUGUGUAAUGUGCACAAUGCGGUACUAUAACAUUGUUUAUGACAUGAUAACUCGUACAGAAGCGUAGUUGUGUUUGGACUAGAAUAUUAACUUAAUUAAUAUCACAUUUAAUGAAAGCACGAAACUUGAUAUCUGUUCAAUUGUAUUUCCAAUGCGAUCUCUCGUAUACAAAUUAUUAGCAUUUGGAACUAUACUAGUGUUGUCUAACAUUCUGCUCAAAUCCUGUACUUUGACUUCUUGUACGAUCAUAUUAAGUUCGUUGUAAAUAUGAAUGAGUAAUAUAUAUUCAAAAUUAAUUAUAAUAUAAUAUAAUAGGAUUUCGUAAGUACGAGUACAAUCAAAAAUUAAAAAACGCAAAUAAUUAAUCAAAUUGUAACUAAUAUAUUAUAUAAUAUAUGUAAAAACUAAAACUAAAUCCUAAAAUAUAAUUAUAUUUUAAACUAAUUCAAACAUUAUUUUUUACUUGACAAUUUAAAUUAUACAGAAUUUACACAUAAUUAAAAAAUAAAUAAAAUUUAAUAAUUAGUAUCCCUAUGAUAAUGAUUAAAAAUAAUUUAAGCAUCUAAAAGUCUGAUAAGCUUGAUGCUGUGGCACCCUUAAUUAAGCUGUACAACGUUUUUUUUUAUUUAGGGGUCGUUUGGCUGGGUUUAAAAGAAGUGACUUAUUGCUUAAAAUAAAGAAGUGGAUUAGAAUUGAGAAGUUGGUUUGGACUUAUAAGCUAUAGAAGUGUUUGGAUACCAUGAUUUAUAAGUUUUUUAAGUGUUUGGAUAACAUAACUUAUAAGUUGACAUAGUUUAGUAAUUUCGUAAUAUAAUAAUUUAUUUUCUUUUAAAAAAUAAAUUAUAAUAAUAUAAGACCUUUUAUUAUUAAUACAUGAAAUAUUUUACAAAUUCAAUAUUUUAAACUCUGCAUCAAAAGAAAAAAUUAAUAACGGCAGAUAAUACAAGUAAAAAGGUACAUCAUUUAUUUAAUACUUAUAUUUAUUUAAUAUAAGUUCAAAGGUAUCUUUUAUUAUUAAUAUAUGAAAUAGUUUUGCAAGAAUAAUAGCAACAAUCUAGCAUGAAAGAAAAUGCAAUGCAGUCAAUUACUAGCUUCUUGUUUGCCUGAAUUACUUUUAGACUAGCGUCGCUGAGUUCGUCUGAAAAGAAGCAUAAGCUGCGUAUCAAAAAAAGCUGCAUUUUGAAGCUUUUUUCUUCGGCUUCUUUUGGUGUGAUUAAGUGCUUUCAGACUGAUUGCCAAACGCAUCACAAAAAGAAAGAAGCGGGCUUCUGAGCUUUUAAGCCCAGAAGCUCCAUUCCCAGACACCCACCUAAUAUACAUAUCUUAGGGAGCCGGAUUCUUAAACAAGUAUGAUGCAUAAAUAUGUCACAAGAAAAAGGCCUGGACCUGGAUAUCAACUUUCGGUCGAGACCAGCCGUCAUCCUCGAAAUAUACUUCUUCAAUACCACCUAUGAUUGAAAGUUGAAACAGCUGUAAGAAAACACUCCUUGCUGGUCCUCUUGCUUAAGCAAAAACACUAACUCAACAAGCAGAGAAGAAGUCAUUGAACGUUAUUAAAUUAAAUGUUGCAGAAACAAAUAGCCAGGGCGCGAGAAGUAUUACCAUGGUAUUCCCAUAUAUCAAUGCUGACAUGAUUGCCGAUGAGAAACAGAAACACAUCUUUCUUCUAAGCAAAUUUCAUAUUGGGAUGCAGCUUCUGAGAAUAUUAUCAGAUUUAUAACAGAGACAACCCAUCUAAACAUGAGCUAACCAAAGGGAUAAAAGUUUUGAGGACCAUAGUCCAAUAAACUUGUGUGUACAAUAAUAUUCAAAGAAAAGUAGGGAAUAUAUAGGGCAAAAAACCAAUGCACAAGCCAUGUUUAAAGCAGUCAUGUGUAUGUCAUUUCAAACAACUUGCUGGGGAGCUGGUGAAUCAUGUUGAAGUGGUAGGGCAAAGCUGAGACCGCUGAAUGUAUGAGUGUAUAGAUGCUAGGCAGAAAUUAGUCUGUUACAACAUGCUUGUUGACGUGAAUGAGUGAAAGGCGUGAUUCCAACCUUCUAUCAAUUUCUUUUUUUUUUUUUAAAAUAAUUAUUAAAAUUUAGACUUAUACAUUAUUUCUCACAUUUUCAUUUUUUGAAUAAAAAUUUUACAUCCAUAUUUUUAUUCAGAAAAAAAAUCUGAAAAAUAACGUGCAGAAAUAUGUUUUAUUUACACUUCAGAUUACGUGCAAAAAGUCAAAACAACAUUUAUUUUAUGACGGAAGGAGUAUUAUUUCAUGAUUGCUAAAUGCAAUUUGAAUACAAUUCAACCAAAUUACUUUACCGGCCCUUGUUGUAUUUUGUGUGACAAUGAACACGCAUUUAGCGAGUUACCGGUGUUUACAGCUCAUUACCUGAUAUUACUUCAAAUAAUCCCAUUAUUUAUCUCUCUUACCAAUAAAUAUUUAAUAUUUUUUAUUAGUUUAAUACAUUUAAUUAUUUAAUAUCCAAUUAUAUAUUUUUUAGUCUAGAAUGUUAUCUUUUUUCAGAUUUCAAGUUCAUUUAAUAAUAGUAAAACAAAACAAUUGAUUUUAGAUUAGAAAUUUAUUGAAAUUUAAAUUUGUGAACUUUUAAAUAAUUAUUGAAUUGAAAAAUAUUUUUAAAUAUAUUACUUGUAAUGUUUAUUUGAGUAUUAGUGUCGUCGUCUGUGUCAUCUAUAUUUGGUUAUUGAUAAUUUACUUUUUAUAAUUUUUAUUUCUCUUCAACUAUUUUAUAAUUUUGAUUAUUUAAAAAUUAACGAAAAAUUAACAAACACAAAAUAACGCAAAAUUGAAGUGCAAAGACAGAACCAGAAACUGAUUGAGCAGCAUCACAUAAAGUUCCAAGCAUGACCGAUAUACAGAUGGUCGAAUAAUUCGCGAAAGUUUCAGUUUAGUAAAUAAAGUUUGUUCCUCAAAUGACUGGAGCAAAAAUAAGCCAAUCCAGGACAACAAAAUCGCCAAAGUUGCAAAUCUCACAACUACUGAGAUGUGGAUUCAUUCUUAGAGAUAUAUAUUUGCUAGUACACAAGUCUGCCUCACUAUGUGCAAACCUUGCAGCCAAAAGAUCGCAGAUGCUGAUUGCUAUGAGCCUAUGAACAAUUCCAUCAACAUCCUUUCCGGAGACAAACACACCUACACAAGUUUUAAAAUUAGUAAAGAUGAAAUGCAUGUCACAUUUAGAGCAAGUCCAAUAGGUUACCUAUCCUAUUACUUAUAAAUAAUAUAAAAUAACGAGUACUAGUAUGUCUUAGUGAUUUAGGUAAUUUAUUUUUAGUGUCAACUCCAAUAGUAAUCCCUAUAUUUGUUCUCCAAAGAUUAUUUUAAUAAUAAAUUUGAGAGAGAGAGAAGAGGAAAAUGAGAGAAUAGACAAAGAAAGAAAGAGAGAGAUGAUUAUUUUAUUCAUAAAUAUUAAAUAGGUAAUGGCUAGGGGUUACUUAUAAAUAGGUAAUGGCUAGGAGAAUUAAGGUUGUGCUAGUGAUUUAGGAUAACACUAGGAUAGUGUUGGAGUGCAUUUUUUUGACACAUUACCUAAAUGUGAGUUUAGGACAUCAUAUAGGGGAUGGCGGAUGGGGAUCCAAAUCCGAUUGCAAAUAGGUAAAACAACAGAGUAUUAUGAGAAAUAUAUAAAACAUGUCGCUCACAGAACACCUUCAUUGUGAAAUCGUCUUCGUUAACAGACUUGCACAUGACCAAAAGAUGGAUGUAGUAGAUGAUAUUCGUGAAUAAAAAAACUCAGUCAGAAAACAUCAGAUGAACUGAUGGUUAUUGUUUAAUCGAAGAAAAUUACAUAUAUAUAACAACUUAAAAUGCAUGUGCAUGUCUUUUGCAAUUUCAUUUGUCAUCAUAAAGUCAUAAACCUGUCUUUGGGAAAGUUUAAUUAAGACAUGAAGAAUAAACAGAUUUUUUAUUUGGUCUAGAAAUGUUGAUUACUAGACUACUACAAGGACUUAAAUGGCUUGAUUUAUAGGAAAUGAAACUAGACUUUUAUGAUCGGAAUAAAAAUAUAGAUCAGACUGGCUUGUAUUGUCAAUCUCCCAAAUCAGCUCUCAGAGGAAAAGGCUAUAAGCAAAGCCAAUAUAACAAACUAAUGCGAGACAAAGUAAGCUGUAUGAUAGAUAUUGUAGCAUACCUAAUAAACAAAGUCGAUAUAACAAAUUAAUGCGAGACAAAGUAAGUUGUAUGAUAGAUAUUGUAUCAUACCUAAUCAUCUGGGAAGGUAGAAGAAAGUAACUCUUCGUCCUCCAAAAACACCUGCAGAUUUUUUGUCUUCAUCAGAUACAUUACGGCCUCUUCAUUGAAUUCAACGAGGAAACCCAUCCUGAUCAGGUCAGCCAGCUGAUGCAUGUGAACUUCGUCCUCCCAUAACAACCCCCCAGCCACUACUUCAGAAAAUUGAGACACAUACUCCAUAAAGUUUUUAUGUCCACCAUGCUUGUCCAAUUUCUGCACGAAAAGCUUUGAAAUCUGUCUCUCCCAUCUCAGCAUUUGCUUUGCUUUAACAGUGAGGAUCUUACCAGAUGACAGUGACAAAGUGUGGCACAUUGUUAUUUUCUUCCUUGCCUCUAGUACCGUAACAUCAAGAAGGCCUCUGACAACAUUGUGCCUGAUAUCUGCUUCCAUAUUGGGCCAAAUGUCAGCUAGAAAGCCAAGAAUAAGUCUCAACAACCCUUUUCCAAUAAAUAAUUCCUUUGGGUUCAGCUGCCUCAGGCUAAUUGUGUCCACCGCAGAAAGUUUUUGCUGCACAGAUUCAGAGAUAUUUCUAACACCUAUUUUACUAUAAAUUUCAAGCAACCUCGUUCUGGGUAGGGAUUUCAUGCUCGGUUGGGGAUACCAAACAAAUAGCUGACCGAGAGAAGACUUUUCAAAAAGAUCCUUUAGGCAAUGAAUACGUCCUGUUUAUUGACGAGAAUAAUUGCAUUCGAGCCUGAAUAUACAGGCAGUUUCAACAGCUGUUGAGUCAAUAUUUCUGCCGUCCUGGAGCUCCAAUUCUUUGUGACAAACCCCCAAAAUGCACAAGACUCAUUAUGUGUUAGCUGGUGGUCAGAAGCUUCCCAUGUCUUCCAAAUCUCACAGUAGUUAUCAAUGUAUGGAUUUAGUUUAACUCCGUAAGUAAUUGAGAAAAAAUCAAGCAACUUACUUUCAUAGUGCCUCUCAAGAACAUGCAAUCGCGAUCCCAGUAGACCAUUUUUGUCCUGAAUAACACAAUCUUCAGAGCUUACCCAGUGACCAUUUUCACUACCACUUGGAAUCCAAAUAUUUUUGUUGUCCUCGUCAUUAGGCUUCCACUUAAGUUCAAUUAGAAAGUUAUAAAUUCGACUCACAGCGGUGAAAUUAGAAUGCAAAUCAAGGUAAUUUGCAAGCAAUGAACAACCAUUAUCAAUUUCGACAAUAACACCCAGAGAACGAAGCUCACUUGUGUAUUCAGUGAUUGUGGAACCAUAGAAGUCUUCAUCAAGGAAAGGUCCAUCACUUCUUUCUAAAUAAGCGGCCCACUUAGGACUGAAGAGCAUGCACUUGUUUGGAGUCCUGUAGCCUGUAUAGGAUUUUAGCCACUGUGUACUCACUUUCUCGAAAAAUGUUGAUGGAAAACGCUCAUGGACCACCACAUUGCCAAUCUUUGGCCUAUAAUUACGGACACAGUCCAGCAAUGAGUACACAUUUUCAGGAGUUAUUCGGCUGAGAUCCUGUGGAAAAUUUAGGACGUUCACAACAAAAUGUGCUCCAUCAUUAAAAGAAGAAACAACACCGAUACUCCUGAGCUCCUCAUCAUUUUCAUGGAUGGUCAUACCGUACUGAUUAUCACUGUCAUCAACAAAAGGAAGCGAAGAUAUUGAUGAGAUAGACUUCCAACAUUGGCCAAAAAGAAUGCAAUCAGCUGGAGCUCUGUAAUCACCAAGUCGAGUACGCAACCAUUUCACCUCACGUAUACACUCCUUUAGAUUUGCAGGAAAUGCAUUUGAGGUACUCAGCUUUUUGUAACAUUCCAGAAUUGCAAGAACGUUGACUUUGCCAAUAAACUCUAAAGAGGCUUGCUGCCUGAAUACACUCUCAAAUUUUUUUUGAUGCCUCACCAAAGUCAACCACCACUCCAAUUUGCUCUAGUUCAUCUUUGAACGAAAGUAUUUUGCUUCCAUAGAAAUUUUCAUCGAUGAGCGGGAAGCAGCUAAAGACCUGCAAAAGGCAUCCCCGCUCAGAGUCAAGCAGAUAGCAUUCAGAUGGAGUUUUGAACCCAGCAUGUGUUUUGAUGCAUUCCUUAUCCUUGAGAGCAUUAACAAAUUUGUCUGUUGACUUGGACUGCCGAAGGCAUUCCAGGAUUAAACAGAGAGCCCCAGGUGUAAGAGAGCUUGAGCAUGCUGAAGAAUUCAAGUUAUCACCAACUAGUUGGUAGUUACCAUUAAAUUUCACUUUCACACCAAUUAGCUCCAGUUCUUUUUUAUAACAAUUGAGGUUGGUUCCAUAAUAGAAUUCAUCAAUAAAUGGAAUGUUACUAACUUCAGAAGCAGGUUUCCACUCCUUGUUAUAUAAAACUGAUUCACCAGGGGAUCUGUCACCUUGGCUAGUCCUCAGCCAUUGCCCGCCUUUGAUACUCUUAAUGAAUUCUGCAGGUGAUAUCAAUUUAGCCCUCAAGAACUUGAUGAAUUUCAAUAUUGAAAGUACACUAUCUCCUGUUAAAUUAGAAGAUGCUGCAAUAGACAUGAGCUGAUUUCCUUUGAUUCUGCAUGCUUCAUUUACCUCAAACAUCACACCUGCAAUUUUCAGCUCCUUCUCGUAAUUAGCUAUUUCAUGACCAUAAAACUGCAUAUCAACUACCUGAAUGUCAAGAAAUUCUGAAUCUUGCUGUAAAAGAGGAGCUUCUGAUGAGAACAUGAAUGACUGUGAUGGUGGUCUAUAGCUUGUUCAACCAUUUAUGGAUACUUUCAGCCAGCUACCCUCCUUAAUGCAUCACAAAACAUUUUGAGGAAUGUUAGACCCAUUCCUGGUCAAGUGACGAAUCCAUUUUAGUAGCAAAAACACAUUAUUUCGCGUUAAAGGAGCUGAGAAGGUUGCAAUUGCAGCAUUGGGAGGAGAUAUGCAAGGUAUAUCAAAAGCUGGAACAAAUUUUUUUAAGAAAUUAAUCAGCUCAUUCUUAGCUGUGGUAAUACCAAUGUAUGUUGCUGGUUGCAGAUAGUUUUUCCCGAGCUCGACAUAACCCUCGUUUCUCCACAGAUUAGAACCAAUCAGCUUAACCCAAUUGCUUCCAUUAGCAGGCAGCAGAACCUUUCUUUGUUGCGCAAUCAUCCGCCCAUAACUAUCAAGAAGAAGCAUAAUCUUACAUAUUCCUUUAACAUUCUGAUCAGAUACAUACUUCUGUAGGAAAGACUGAUAAAGAAAAUGACUGUAAGCAAUAGCAAGCUCUCUAUCAUUAUUUAUUAGCUUAGUGAGCCUAUAUGCAUAAUCAGACACAUUCACUGCUUUGACAUUAACUUGGUCUGACAGCCAAUCAAGUAGGAUCUGCUUUUUUCUCAAUAACUCAAUAGCUUGUUGGGUUGAAAUUGGUAUUAAGAAGUGGUCUGUUGCAGAUUUGAACAACCUACUCCAGUUAAUUAACCAUGAUGCAUGACUUUGCAAAGUAGACCUAAACAACUUUCCAGCAUCAAAUCGAGAAACUGUACUGACACUAGUCAGAGAAACAUUACCAAGAAUAUCUACAUACUUCAAAAGUGAUGUAUUCUUCAUGAAGGUGCUAUGAAAACGAGAUUUCCAAUUCUCCUGCAACAAAAAGGAGAAGCUCCAGAUAAACAUUCUCAGACACUUCCAUUACAAUAUUAGAACUCUGGAUGCACUUAGCAUACCAUUCAUCUGCAACCAGUUCCACUCCCAUGAAUUUGAGAAUUUGAUCAUACUCCUCUUUGUCAAAUAAAGAACUCAAUAUAUAAGUGCCAUGAGAGGAGAUGUUAUUUAAAGCUACACCUUUUCCCUUAGCCUUAGCCAGUAUAUCCCAAAAGGCUGGCAAUAUCCUACCAACUUCACAUGGUUUAUGGAAAAAAAUUUGUUCGGAAUAUGAUUCACAUGGCACAAUACUUUGGUUUAGUAGCUCCUGCCUGAUAGACUCCCUGACAGCAUUUAGCUCCAAGCAGGGACCUUCAUUGACUGGCAAGUACCCAAAGAUAUGGCGCAGAGUUGAAAUGGGAGCUUCUGUAUCUUUCACGAGAGAAGUGAAAGCACUGAUAAAGGCACAAGAAACACAGUCAAGGAUUCCUCUAUCCCAUUUGUUACCUAUGAGGAUAUUUUCCCUAGAUGAGGCUAAGAUGAAAUCUGCUUGAGUAAUGAAAGGGAAGUUGGUCACCAUCUCUGUAGGUAAAAAUACAUAAAUCCCUGGGGACUGCAUCCCUCUAAGGAGACGCUUUCCACGUGGGAACGCUAGAGUGAUAACCCAUUCUUCUACCUCCAUUCUUCUUUCAUCUUUGUGAUCCUUCUUGACAGGAAACCUUUGCCUCCACAUAUGAUAACCACAUUCUUUUUCUAAAUCAUCAUUACCAACUUGAUCAGCAGAAAGAUUUAGCAGAUAAGAUUCAGCAUCUAUGUUCUUCCUUGUCAUAAAUUCAGUUACACUUGAAAUAGAUAUUGCACUCACAGUGUUGAGCUUGGAAUCCUCAUUGUCUUCUCUAACCGAAAGCCGCUUUAUCUUUGUAAGAAACAACAGAAUCUCAGGAUGAAUGUUAGAGAGCUGAUGCAUUACAGAUUGGACCUUGUCAGGUUUUAGAGGCAGUAUUAUUGUUGUGGUAGGAAGAGGGGUACCGUUUCCAUGUAUGCUUUUGAUAACCGAAAGAGUUGGAUUUGUCUCAACCCACUCAGGAACUAUAUAUCCAACAUUACAGUGUGGACAAGGUCCUUCGUUAAACCGUAUCUGAUAGCCAUUACUGAAUAUAUAAGGCUGAGCUGUGAUCAGGAAUACACUUUUAAACCCAAUGCCUGAAAUGAUUAAAAUCUUUAUUGAAAACACUUAGCAGAGAGGCUUGAAUUAGAGAGUCCACCAUCAAAUUCCAUCAUUAGAAUCGGAAAAAAAUGAUGGUGCUGAUGAUGAUAUCAAAUAAUAAUUAUUAUUCAUAAUCAUUAUUCUAUAAUACUUCAUAGAGGGAAAUUUGCAGCACUACUUAGUUAUACUGAUGAGAGAAAAUAAAGUUCUGCAGGACGUGACACGGUUUAGGGUUUUGGGACACAAGGGCUACAUUUCUUGCCUAUAUAUAAGUAUAUAUGUUUUUUUACAAAUACACAUUCUAGUCUACAGAAUCUAAUAAUCUAGAUAAAAAUAAUUAAAUAAUUUUCAUGGUGUAACGCCAUUCAAAAAGUUGGGACACGAGGACUAUUUAUCAAGCUUGAUGUAACAGUAUUGAGGGCGGCGUGGUGUCUGCAACUUCACAUGCUAGUCUACAGAUUGUCACAAAUUAUGGUGCUCGAUCUAGAGAGAAAACAGGGAACAAGUGAAAAACCGAGGUGCAGGAUAUAGGUUCUAGGAGUUCUUCAAAGACAACUAUUAUAAAUAGAUAACCAUCGAUAAUCAAGAACUAGAGCGAUUAGCAUAUUGUAGUAAUUAGACCUUUCUCACCAAUAUAACCACGUCUGCGGUUUCCCUUCUUAGUGGAGCAUCCAACACUGCAGAUGGAAUCGAUGUAUCUGGGUGUGAAGCCUUUCUCAUUGUUAAAUAUCAACAACGUAGCUGGAGCCCCUGUAGCAGUUAUAUCUCGAGAAGUUACUACAAUCUCAAGCUAAGGCUUCACUCCUUCCAAAUACUCGUUGUCUUCUGCAUUCUGCAGAAAAAACGCAAAUAAGUAAACUACAGAAAUACAGUAAGACUGGUAUCUAUCUCGGCUCAUAACAAUCAAUCCUAGCAGCAUAAAUGUCAGCGUUAAUCAAUGAUUAGAGUAAGAAAAAUCCGCUUUUCAGCUAUAAAUCUACAAAGAAACCUCCAUACAUGCUUCCACCAAUUCAAAUGGGAUUUUGUUUGGCUUUUUUGCAGAUUAUGAUUCUUGCAACAUGUACUAAUAGUCAAUAUUAAACAUCUAAGGGUUUAGUACAGCAUAUUAAUCCAGUUAAGACCCUCUCUCAAGUCUCAACACAUGAGUGUCUGAGAAGUUCAUUUAGUAUAUAAAUAAAGUUCAAUAAACUUAAUUACCUAAUUAAUUAAACUAUGUACAGUAUUUUACAGUUGGGACUAAAAAUUAGGGCUUAAAAUUUUAUGUUCUGUGGCAUGUAAAUUUUUUUUUUUUUUUUUGACAGAGGCAUGUAAUUUAACAUAACAUUGCGUAUGUUAUAUGUAAAACUUCAAAGUUCUCACUCAGAUAAAUUGACAUUAAUAUUUAGUAGUCCAUACUCCAUUGUUGACCAUCGCUUAUGAAUGUGUGACCUAGUUCUGGGAGGGAGGGGAGGGAGGGGGAGGGGCGAGAGAGGAAAAGGGAGACAGAGGGAAGGGAGGGGGAGAGAGAGAGAGAAUGAGGGGGAGAGAGAGAGUGGGGGACAAAGGGAGGGGAGGGAGGAGAGGAGAGAACCUGAAUAAGCUCCAUGAGAAAGUGAACAUCUUUAGCGUAAAGUUCGCCGGAGAGAUUCAUAACAGCCUGAUGCAGAUCCUCGGUCAAUGGGUUUAUUUUUUCCCGCCAAUACAAAACUUGCUCCUCCGAAUCUCUUCCAUACAGGGCUUGCUAUCGGAGUUUACACUGUAAUUAGAUCAUCUAAAUUAUUGGAUUGUGAUUUUAAAGCAUUUUAUAUUGUUUGAAAUCUAUUAAAAUCUUGAGGUAUUCAAUUGGGAUUUUAAAUUAUGCUACAAAAUCCGGUGGUAUUCAAUUGAGAUUGUUUAAAAUUCAUUAAAAUCUGGUGGUAUUCAAUUGGGAUUGUUCAAAAUCCAUUAAAAUCUGAUGGUAUUCAAAUACUGGCGGAUUUUAUUGGACUUCAUAAAUUGAUGAAUUUUGUGGUAUUCUUCAGUUAUUUUAAAUUUUUUGAAAUCCUGUCAAAAUCAAUGGGAUUUUGAAGCAUUGUACUUGAACCCCAUAAACUCUUGGACAUUUUAUAAGAAUCCGCACAAAAUCAAAAUCACAUACAAUCCAUUAAAAUCCAUAGACUAAAAACAAUCCAUUAAAAUCCCAAACGAAUACAACCUCCUAAGACUAACUAGGAUUUAUUAUUUUAUAUUAUUAAUACCUAAUGAGAUAGGUAACCUAUUGGACUUGCUCUAAAAGUAGUUUGAAAAGGAAAGAAAAAGUUGGUAAGUGGUGGGACUCAUCGAUUAUUUUUAUUAAAUUUUAAAAUGUAAAGAAUUGGAUGAGACAUCUAAAAAAAAUCGUAAAAAAUUUGAUGUGACGGAGAGAGUAGUAUAUAGGUUAGGAUAUGGUUUUCCGGGUCAUAUACUUUGUAUGUGUGUUUGUUUUAGAAAGUGAAUCUAAUAUGUUUAUCCUUAACAUCGAGUUGCAUGUAUAUCAUUUGACUUAGUUAUGAACACACUUGGAUGUUGGUGAUGCAAGAAGGAACGGUGUAUUUGACACACGUAUAUGGUGCACGUGUGCAGUGGCGGUGGUACGUGGGGGCCCGGGGGACACAUGCCCCCGUAGAGUUUUCUAAAAAAAAAAAAAAAUUUUUUGUAGGACCCACUUACUUUACCAAGUUGUAUACUCCUGUACAUACUUUUCACAGCUGAUCACAUAUAAUCCCUAGAGCUUCUUCGGCUCCUUUUACACAAACCACAACCCAAAAGCCAAAAUCAAACGAUAACACCUGCAUCAUCACUUAUCCGGGCAAGGGGUGAUUCCUUUUCAUAUUUCUUCAACAAUUCCUUUAUCAGGUAAUUUCUCUUCUCUGCAUCAUCAUUAAUUUUCUUUGUAUUCUUGUAGUUGUAUAUAUGUUGAGUUUUAAGUGUUGUAAGACUAAAGAGUGAUGGAUUGUUGUUUAUAUAUUUGGAUUGUGAAUUGUGAUUAAAUAGUGAAUUAGCGAUGAUCUUCUUGUAUUAAAAUUUACUGUGUAGUUAUAGUUCUCAUUCUGGGCUUCUAGGAUAUUUUUCAAGAAUAGUCAGUAGAUAUCUUAGAAUUUUAAAAUCUCUUGUAAUUAUUUGGUCAUGCUUCUAUUAAACAGAAAUGGAGAGAUUUUAUAAAAGGAAGUCAGAAGCGGAAGCUGUUGUGCCGCCUGUGACAGUGCCUAUUAUAUUCACUGCUUUGCACACCAACUUCAACUAGCUUUGGUUGGUGUAGCCAAAAAACAUGUCCACGUUAUGGAGUUUUUUUCAGCGGUAGGUAGUAUACUAAAUGUUGUUGGAGCAUCAGCCAAACGGUCUGACAUUCUUCAAGAAAAACAAAUAGCACGCAUUGCUCAAGCAUUACAGAAUGAAGAGAUCACUAGUGGCCGUGGUCUAAAUCAGAGUACUAAUCUUAAACGCCAUGGAGAUACCCGAUGGGGUUCACAUUACGGUACUUUGCUAAGCUUACAUAAUUUAUUUGCAUCAACUAUUGAAGUCCUGGAAAUUAUUGUUGAAGAUGUGUCUAAUUCUGAACAAAUAUUUGAUGCUACUAAUUUGCUAUUAGUUAUGCAAUCAUAUGGCUUCGUAUUUACUAUGCACCUGAUGAGAACUAUAUUGGGGAUUUCUAAUGAAUUAUCAAAAUUUUUACAACGAAAAGACCAAGAUAUAGCUAAUGCUAUUAUACUUGUUAAAGUUUGUAAACUCAGAUUACAAGAGAUGAGAGAUGAUGGGUGGGACUCUUUUCUUACACAAGUAUCUUCUUUUUGUGAUGGUCAUGCUAUUGAUGUUCCUGACGUGAAUUCUAUAUUCAUACCUAGAGGUAGAUCCCGACGCAAAUCAUAUCAGAAAACAAACUUACAUCAUUAUCGUGUGGAGGUUUUUUAUUCUAUAAUUGAUAUGCAACUCCAAGAAUUAAAUAGUCGUUUUGAUGAGGUGAAUACUACAUUACUUCUCUGCAUUUCAUGUUUGUGCCCGGAUGAUUUGUUUGUUGCUUUUGAUAAACAAAAGUUAAUUCAACUUGGUUACAUGAAAACUCGUCGUGGAAACUUGUAAUAUUAUCACAUGAACUUGUAAAUAUUUUUGCUAUAUAUUUAUAUAUUUUGUUUUGUUGCUGGAAAUUUAUAUGGUGCCCCCACUCGUUAAAAGUCCUGGCUCCGCCACUGCACGUGUGCAUUGUUCUGGAUGACAACAUCACUUGUAGAAAUGCCUACUUGUUUCAAUUUUUUAGUACUAGCUACAUUAGUAUCAAUGAAAUGAUAAUAACCCAAUACUUUUUGAAUCGCAUUUCCAAUACUAUACUCUCUCCGUCCCUCUGAUUUCUAUACACUUUCUUUUUCGGGAUGUCCCAUUUAAUUCUAUACAUUUCAAAACUUUCCCAAAAUAGUAAACUUUUAUAAUACAAAAAUCCCACCCACCUACUACUUCCAUCUACUUUUUCAAAUCUAUCAAUUAAAUAUGCAUGGGUCCCACCAUUUUACCUACUUUUCUUUCUCUUUCUCAUUACUUUACACUACUUUAUACACUAUUCUUAGUCUCCGUAUCCAUUCCAAACGUAUACAUCCCAGAGGGACGGAGGGAGUAUAUAUCUAAUACAUCGAGCAUUUACGAGAGAGCAGCAUAAUUAGUCAUUAAACUUCACACUUAUUUCCAAUCUGGUCAUUUUACUUUAAUUAUUUUUUCAAUGGUCACUUAACUAAAUACUUAUAUAAUUUGUGGUCAUGAUGUUAAUAACACCGUUAGUCACACACUCACACCGUUAUGCAUGCCUGUGACCAGUGCCUCUGCACUACCAAAUCAGAACUAAGAAUCAUUUCUAUACAUCUAUAACAGUACCCAUAAAUGUUACAAAUAUGAAUGCUCGACUUAUAGUGCUUACUUGAAGAUAUAUAGCAGAAGCAAGCUUCAGCUUGGGGCAAAAAAAAUUGCAAGAGCCUCUGCUCUUUUCUUCUUGUAUCCCAUGCUCUAAUUAGCCCUUCAACACCCUUGUAUACAAGAAAGAAGACUAGGGCAAUUGCUGCAACCAGAUGCACCAGGAAUAUGCAUAAAAAACUAAGACAAUAACUCUAAUAAUACUAAUGCCAUAUGACAAAAAAAAAAAUACUAAUGCCAAUAAUGACUCUGCAACAACUCCAAUAUUGGAAUAGCAGAUACACUGCAUUUUCCCACAGCAGCCAAAACAUCAUCCUAAACAAGAAAAGUAAGAAUUUCACAAACACACACAUUCAGCAAAAAGGUUUUCAAACAUUUAUCCAAAACAGGAAAUUCAGGAAUUUCACACACCAAUUCAACUAAAGUUCACACCUUUACAACCAUGUAUCCCAAACUGGAACUUUAAAUUAAUUUUUAAUCACUGAAGUUCAUGAACACUAACACACAACUGAAUAUUUCAGCUUCUCAACAAGCAUCCUAAAUUAAAGUUUCAAGAAUUUAUAUGCGUCUUGACAGGAGUCAAGACUCAGCAUUAAGACUCAGCAUUCAUUAUCUGAUCGCCUGGACACCUGACUUUAUUCAAAACACUUCGGCUUCAGCCUCAUUGUUUGUUGCUUCCGUAUUUUCUUUUCUUUUCACCUUUCACAAUAAAAAACAAAAAUGAUGUCAAAUAUAGAAAACUAAUCUUCAUAUUCUAAACUGAAAUAAACAAAUUAAAAAGACUUACCGAUAAUUUUUCUACUCUGGGCUUACUACCUGCAUCAUAUUGGUGUACUUUCCCGCUUUCAUGAAAUCUUUUGUUGUGCCCUUUCUUCUUAUAAAUAGCAAGACUUGUGGCAAAAGGGUAUAGCCAAUCUUACGGGAUUGAUUAUCAGGAAACUUUUGCUCCAGUAGCAAAGAUGGCUUCUAUUAGAGUCUUGAUUUCAUGUGCAGCAAAUCUUGGAUGGGAACUUCAACAGUUGGAUGUUAAAAAUGCAUUCUUACACGGAGACCUAAAAGAAGAGGUCUAUAUGGACAUUCCACCUGGAUUUUCUACAGCAGCAACCAUUGGGAAAGUAUGCAAGUUAAAGAAGACUAUUUAUGGAUUGAAACAGUCUCCAAGAGUUUGGUUUGGCAAAUUUCAAAGAGCAGUAGUUAAAUUUGGCUACAAGCAGAGCAAUUCAGAUAGCACAAUGUUUGUGAAAAGAAAAGGUGAAAAGAUCACUGUGUUAAUUGUUUAUGUUGAUGAUAUUGUGAUAACUGGCAACGACACAUGUGAGAUUGCAGAUGUUAAACGAAGACUUGCUUCUGAAUUUGAGAUGAAAGACUUGGGAGAACUACGAUAUUUUCUUGGCAUUGAAGUUUCCAGAAGUCAGGGUGGUAUCUUCCUUUCACAACGGAAGUAUACGCUUGACCUUUUAAAUGAAACUGGUAUGUUGGGAUGUAGACCCGCAAAUUCUCCUAUAGAAGCAAACAAUAAGCUUCGUGGAGAUGUUGGUGAAAUUGUUGAUAGGUUUCAAUAUCAGAGAUUAGUUGGACGACUAAUCUACCUCGCACACACAAGGCCAGAUAUAGCAUAUGCAGUAGGAGUUGUGAGUCGGUACAUGCAUGAUCCUCGUCAACCUCAUUUGGACGCAGUUUAUAUGAUAUUAAGGUAUCUUAAAGCUGCUCCCGGAAAAGGAGUGAUUUUUACUAAAAACAAUCAUCUUGGGGUUGAAAGCUAUACGGAUGCAGAUUGGGCCGGAUGUUCAGACGACAGACGUUCCACAUCAGGAUAUUGUACAUUUGUUGGUGGCAACAUAGUUACUUGGCGAAGCAAGAAGCAACCGGUGGUGGCAUUAUCUAGUACGGAAGCGGAGUACAGAGCUAUGGCUCGAGGUGUACGAGAAUUACUAUGGAUUAGAUUGCUUUUAACCGAAUUGGGACUCGCAGCGGCCACUCCAAUGAAGCUGCAUUGUGAUAACAAAGCAACUAUUGCCAUUGCUCAUGAUCCCGUUCAACACGAUCGGACCAAGCAUAUUGAGAUCGAUCGACACUUUAUCAAAGAGAAGAUCAACAACAAUAUCAUCAGUAUUCAAUUUGUAAAAUCAGAAGAUCAAUUAGCUGACAUACUAACCAAAGGUUUAAGUGGAAAAAUGCUUCAUCCUCUUAUCAGCAAGUUGGGCAUGAGCGAUAUAUAUGCAUCAACUUGAGGGGGAGUGUUAAAAGAUGAUGCAAGCAUCAUGAUGUCAGCUAGCUUACAUCAUGUAGAUGUUACUGUAGAUUACUUGGGGACUACUCUUGUAUAUUCUAUAUAAAGAGGACUGAUUCCUCUCCCUGAAUAAUAAGAUAUCAAUAAGGAUAUACACUGCAUUACAUUACUCCUUCAUCUCCUGUUUUUUCUUGCAUCUCAUAUAUAUAUACCUAGCUGCUAUAUAAACUCUGAGAAUUUGUCUACGUACCGUUUCCCUCAGCCUAUUGAUUUAUCGGGCAUGCCUGAUAAAUUCAGUGGGGGGCUUCCUUUUCUCGUUGGCAGAAAAAGAUGAAGCUCUGGUUAACGGUUAAGGGCUUAUGGCUAGUGGUGCAGUAUGAUCCUCCUGUUGUGGAUCAAGAGAAGGCUGAUUCUGCAAAGGUUUAUGCUUUGUGGGCUGAAAAGGAUGGGGUGGCUAGGGCUGCUAUUUUGGCAGCGUUAGCGAACACUCUAUUCGAUGUAUAUUCAUCGGAUGCCUAUACUGCUAAGCUUUUGUGGGAGAAGCUGGACCAAACCCACAAUACUGAUUCUCAAGGUCUUGAGAAGUAUAGUGUGGCGAGGUUUCUUGAUUUCAAGCUGGUGGAUGGAAAAUCCAUGACGGAACAGGUGCAUGAAUUUGAGAUGUUGGUGCAUGCUUUGAAGGAGUCCGGAAUGGACCUGCCUGAAAAGUUUCAGGUUAUGUCCGUGAUUGAAAAACUCCCAAAGUCUUGGGAAGAAUUUGCUCUCUCCCUGAAAAGACAGAAAGGAGAGAUCACUUGGACUAAUCUGAUGUUGGACAUCUCUGUGCAGGAGCAGCACAAGUCCAAACAAGGACAUGUGAUGCCUGCUGAGCAUGGGAGUAGUUCGAAGGUGAACGUAGUAACUGUAGGACAGAAAAGGAAAUCUGUCACUAAGAAGGAUAAACCCAAGAAUGACAAGAACAAGGCUAAGAAACCAAAGGCAAACAAGCCAUGUUGGUCUUGUGGACAGGUUGGUCAUUGGAGCAAGGACUGUCCCAUGAAGAAAGCUAAGAAAGCUGGUGUGGUAGCUCAGGAUAAUACUGUGCUUGGAACCACGAGUGGGCCUGUGGCUAACAUGGUUGUUGGUGAGGUUGUUGCCUCUGAAACCAAUGACGGGUAUGUUGCCUACAACCCUGAACUGUUUUCCGCUUAUCUGUCUCAUGAAUGGUUGAUUGAUACAGGAGCUAAUGUGCAUAUUUGUGCUGAUAUUACUCUCUUGUAUCUUAUCAACAGUGUCAUGGAGUGACAGUGAGGAUGGGGAAUGCAAGUGCUGCUCAAGUGCUAGGAAUUGGAAACGUGGACCUGAAGUUUGCUUCUGGGCGUGUUCUGACCCUCACUAGAGUGCAUCAUGUUCCUUCUAUUCAUAGAAAUAUUAUAAGUGGAAGCUAUUUAGUUAAAAAUGGCUUUGAACUUUCUUUUAAAUGUAAUAAAGUUGUGAUUACUCAGACUGGUACAUUUGUUGGCAAGGGUUACUUGUCGGAUGGUUUAUUUUUGAUAAAUGUGGAACCCGUUUUGGGUGGUUUUAUUAAUGUUCCUUCUGUUAAUUGUGUUGAAUCAUCUGAUUUAUGGCACUCACGACUUGGUCAUUUAAAUUUUGGUGCUCUAAAGAAUAUGAUGAAUUUAGAGUUGAUUCCAAAGCAUUCCAUUGAUAAGAAAUCUAAGUGUCAAGUAUGUGUGACUGCUAAACAAACAAAGAAACCUUUUCAUAAUGUUGUUAGGGAUUCUGAAUUGUUAGAUUUAGUGCACACAGACAUAUGUGAAUUCAGUGGUGUUUUGACUAAGGAUCAUUAUAGAUAUUUCAUUACCUUUAUAGAUGAUUAUAGUAGAUAUUGUUAUGUUUAUUUGCUUAAACAUAAGGAUGAAGCACUAGAAAAAUUCAUUAUGUUUAAAAAUGAAGCUGAAACACAAACGAGCAAAGUACUUAAACGUUUGAGAUCUGAUAGAGGUGGUGAGUAUACAAGUAACUUGUUUAAUGAAUUUUGCGCAAGCAAUGGUAUAGUUCAUGAGGUUACUCCACCAUACACACCUGAGUCUAAUGGGGUGGCAGAGCGAAAGAACAGAACUUUUAAAGAUAUGAUUAACAGCAUGUUGAUUAAUUCGGGGUUGCCUAAAUACAUGUGGGGAGAGGCUCUGAAUACGGCUUGCCAUAUUCUGAAUAGGGUCCCUUUGAAACACAUGGAUAAGACACCAUAUGAAUUAUGGAGAAAACGUAAAACUAGUUUGAAUUAUCUUCGUGUGUGGGGGUGCCUUGCAAAGGUACUUGUACCUGAACACAAGAGAAAGAAACUAGGGCCUAAGACUGUUGAUUGUAUCUUUUUGGGCUAUCUAGAGACCACAACCGCUAUGAGAUUUUUAGUUUUAAAAUCUGACAUAGACGGCAUUGUGGCUAAUACGAUAGUUGAGUUUCGUGAUGCAAUGUUCUUUGAGGACGUGUUCCUUAUGAAGACUGGUAUACCUCAGGGUAAUUCUGAGGAUGAUCCGACUCUCACAUCGAGUUCUAUUCCCGAUCAUGUGGAAAAGAUGACAAAUGUGGGGGCGAAUCCUAGUAGUAGCUCUACUCCUAACGAAGUAGAGGAACCUAGAAGGAGUAAGCGUGCAAAGGUAGUCAAGGACUUUGGAAGUGACUUUCUCACUUACAAUAUCGAGGAUGAACCUUUAACUUUCCGUCAAGCCAUGGACUCUUCGGAGUCAAGGCAUUCGAAAGGCGCUGUAAAGAGUGAGAUGGACUCUAUUGUUUCUAAUGGAACAUGGGAGUUAGUCGAUCUCCCUCCUGGGUGUUCUACUAUAGGAUGUAAGUGGGUCUUCAAGAGGAAGUUGAACCCGGAUGGCUCAAUAGAUAAGUACAAGGCGAGGCUAGUUGCUAAGGGUUUUAGGCAAAGAGAAGGUAUAGACUAUUUUGAUACAUACUCUCCUGUUGCUAGAAUGACAACCAUCCGAAUGCUUAUAGCAUUGGCUUCUGUGCAUGGUCUUAUCGUCCAUCAAAUGGAUGUAAAGACUGCUUUUCUUCAUGGUGACCUUGAAGAAGAGAUUUACAUGGAUCAGCCUGAAGGAUUUAUUGCUUCCGGUAACGAGAGGAAAGUAUGUAAACUAGUCAAGUCCAUCUAUGGCCUUAAACAAGCACCUAUCGACUGGCAUAAAAAGUUUGAUGAAACUGUUUUAGCAUUCGAUUUUUUAGUUAAUGAAAGUGAUAAGUGCGUCUACUAUAAGGUUAGAGGAAAUGAAUGUGUGAUUGUAUGCCUAUAUGUUGAUGAUAUUUUGUUGUUUGGAACCAAUAUUGCGAUUAUUAACAAGACAAAGAGUUUCUUGAAAAUAUACUUUGAGAUGAAGGAUAUGGGUGAGGCUAGUAUGAUUCUUGGGAUCAAGUUAACACGGUCAACUGAUGGAAUAACCUUGUCACAGUCUCAUUAUAUAGAGAAAUCUAUACUUGAGAAGUAUGGUUAUUCAAAUUUAGGAUGUAAGUGGGUCUUCAAGAGAAAGUUGAACCCGGAUGGCUCAAUAGAUAAGUACAAGGCGAGGCUAGUUGCUAAGGGUUUUAGGCAAAGAGAAGGUAUAGACUAUUUUGAUACAUACUCUCCUGUUGCUAGAAUGACAACAAUCUGAAUGCUUAUAGCAUUGGCUUCUGUGCAUGGUCUUAUCAUCCAUCAAAUGGAUGUAAAGACAGCUUUUCUUCAUGGUGACCUUGAAGAAGAGAUUUACAUGGAUCAGCCUGAAGGAUUUAUUGCUUCUGGUAACGAGAGGAAAGUAUGUAAACUAGUCAAGUCCAUCUAUGGCCUUAAACAAGCACCUAUCGACUGGCAUAAAAAGUUUGAUGAAACUGUUUUAGCAUUCGAGUUUUUAGUUAAUGAAAGUGAUAAGUGCGUCUACUAUAAGGUUAGAGGAAAUGAAUGUGUGAUUGUAUGCCUAUAUGUUGAUGAUAUUUUGUUGUUUGGAACCAAUAUUGCGAUUAUUAACGAGACAAAGAGUUUCUUGAAAAGGCACUUUGAGAUGAAGGAUAUGGGUGAGGCUAGUAUGAUUCUUGGGAUCAAGUUAACACAGUCAACUGAUGGAAUAACCUUGUCACAGUCUCAUUAUAUAGAGAAAUCUAUACUUGAGAAGUAUGGUUAUUCAAAUUGUAGAAUCGCGAGUACACCCUAUGAUCCUAAAGUGGCCCUUGUCAAGAAUAGUUCAGGUGUACCUGUGUCUCAGUUAAGGUAUUCUCAGAUUAUUGGUAGUUUGCAAUAUCUUGCUAACGUGACUAGACCAGAUAUUUCUUAUUCUGUGUCUAAGUUAGCUAGAUAUACAAGCUGUCCGAACAAGACUCAUUGGGAGGCUCUGGAUAAAGUUCUUAGAUAUCUCAAGGGAACUAUUUCUCUUGGCUUGCAUUACCAGAGAUUUCCGGGGGUACUCGAGGGGUACAGUGAUGCAAGUUGGAUAGCUAAGAAAUCCGGUUCCAAUGGAGUGACUGGAUAUGUGUUUACCCUAGCGGGUGGAGCUGUGUCCUGGAAGUCUUCUAGACAGACUUUGAUUACUCGGUCUACUUUUGAGGCUGAGUUGUGUGCAUUGGAUGCCACGGGGACGGAGGCUGAAUGGUUACAUGGACUGAUGUCAAUGUUACCUGUAGUAAGCAAACCGCUUCCUGCCAUUUCUGUUCAUUGUGAUAGCCGUACAACUAUUGACAAGAUCAGAAGUGUAAAGUAUAACGCUAAGACAAAGAGACACAUCCAAGUUAGACUUAAGUCUAUAAGGGGUCUUGUUUCUGAUAGGGUUAUAGCUAUAGAGUUCAUUGGAACUCAGGAUAAUAUAGCUGACCCGUUGACUAAGGGGCUUGAGCAUGCUGUAGUCCUUAAGUCGAGGUUGGGGAUGGGACUGGUAACCCAUCAUGGUUCAUCUACAGCGGGAACCCAAUACACCUGAGAGGAGAUCCCUCGAAGUGUAUUCAAUGUGGUAAUAACAAGUUGUAAGGAUGGAUCGGUAGUACCUUUACUACAUAUAGCUAGAUACUUAUGUAUCUGAGUCUAUCCCCUGGAAACCUUAAAAGGUACUGUUACUGCAUGUAUAGAAAGAGUUUUUAAAACUCUGAAUGGGGUCAAGUCAUUUGACGAGAUGUUAGCAGUACAUCUUUGGAGAUGCCCAGCUAAGCGAAUGUAAUUGUGUGGUCGCAAUUAGAGGAAUGGGUUAUUCCUUGAAACAUUCGUCGAACAGGAUCGAGACACGACCAUUAACGUCUCAAAGCCGUAGAUCUGUACCAUAGCCUUUGACUUGUCGUCGUCUAUGGAGUGUGGUUACACCAAACGGAUAAAGAUUCAAGUUGAAAUAUUCCAUCUAUAUCCGGUAGCCAUCGAAGUAGAGGACUUAGGAGGGUUCAAACCUGGAAGGGUACCUACUCUGAAAAACAAGUCAUGAUAAAAUCUGAUAUGCAUUUCUGUAUGGAUUAGUGGGGGAAUGUUAGAAAAUGGUAAGUUUAAGACUCAUUUUAUAUGGUUUCUUGAUGGAAUUACCUUAAUCUAAUUGUUGGAGGUUGUUCUUGUAAUGAGGACUUAAACUUUCAUGUUUGGAUCUAAGACAUUUUCUUAGUGUAAUCCAUAAAUAAAUUGAGUUGAAGUUAGUAGUUUGAAAGUGGUAAAAUAUGUUAUGUGGGUUAGUCCCACAUUGAUAUUGGAAAGUCUGGUUGGUGUAUUUAUAUAGUACAUGUGCAAGUGUAGUGUUCAACUACUAAGGCAUGUGGGUGUGCAAGGUUGUAGUGAGCGCCUCGCGCGCAAACACCCGCGCGCCGCCGCCGCCCCGCCACGCCUCGACUCGGGUCGGGUCGGGUCGGGUCGAAGGGCGAUUUGGGCGAAUGUCUCGGCGUCUCGCGUACGCGAGGCGACCUGGGCGAGGGAUUUUGACGCUGUUUUAAUUAAAUAAAUCCUGACUUAUAAUAUUAUUUUAAUAUGAAUGUACGUGCCCCUGAGUGGUGAAUGUACGUGCCCCUGAGUGGUGUAUGUACGUGCGCCUGAGUGGUGAAUGUACUGAUAUAUAUUCAAUUAAAAUAAAACGAUAUAAGUCAGAAUAUUUAUUGUAAUUAAUGCCAUAUCUUCAGUUACGUUUUAUUUUGUAUUAUAUACAGAAUCAAAACGGUUUGUGAGUUAUACUGAUAACAAAAAGAUAAAAACCCUAGCUGCUACUCUUCUCUAUUUUCUCUCUGCAAAAAUACAUACAGGACAGAUUGCAUAGGUUUUCUGGGCGAACAUAGGUCAGGUCGUUGUUGAUCAAUUGCGUGUCUGUGAACGAGUUGAUCUGAGCUGUUUCAUCCUGGAGGCGAUAUUGCUGCAACCCAACACAUCGUAAGUGGGGCAAUUAUCGUUUCAAGAACAGUCUAGGCUUUUCAAGGGCUAGGCGACUCAGCUGUUAUUCUGAUUUUGAUCAGUAUUUGAUAAAGCUUUGCAAGCUAAGUGAUUUCUGUCUUUUCUUGUCGAUUUAAGGUACUGAUUAUAUUUCUGUUUUGCCUUCGUGUAUUGUUGCGUUAAUUGGUGCCUUGCCUGUUCUUGUUAAUUCCUGAUAUAUAACUGCCUCAUUGUUGCGCUAAUAGUUUAAUAUUUCCAACAUUAUCUUUCUUCUUUACCCUCAGUGAUGUUAUGUGGUUCUUCUAUGGCCUCCUACUCAAAGACUGCAACAUUGCCGUAAGCAUAAAUCAUAUAUAGAUGUAUUACGGUAUCGAAUUUAAUUAAUUGUAUAAUUAAGAGACUAAUUAGUGCUAAUUAAUCUUUUUUUUCAGGUUCCGAACGUGCUGGGAUUUACAUUCGGCAUUCUACAGCUGAUAUUGUACAUGGUUUACCGUAACACGAAAAAAGACGCGAUUGAAGCGAAGAAGCUUCCCGAAUUAUUCGAGGAUGAUUCGGUGAUCAUAAUCGAUGAUCAGAAACUUCCGGAGCUGAAAGCGAAGAUAGAUGAUGUGAUGAGGCUGAGCGCGAUGGUUUGUUCGGAGAUGAGGCUGGUCGCCAAGAACUCGAACCCGAAUGAGCUCGAUAUGAUCGAAAUUCAAGUCGUGGUGCCUAAAAAACAAGCCACUCCGAUAGUCGCUUAAUUAAGUGACGAUUGUCGUAGUUUAAUUUAUAACUAAUCUCGUGUGUAUGGCUCUGUAGUUUCUCAUCUAUCACCGCCAUCUCUUGUAAUUUAAAUUAAUUAUCAUAAACUAUAUAUAGCUUUUUAGUACUCGAAUUCUUCGUAGAAAUUCACCCCCAUCAGUUGUUAAAUCUCGAGCUUUAAUACUUUUGAGCCUACUAAUAACAAGGAUACGAGUAUAUAUAACUAACAAUCUUGUGGAGUUAAUUUUUGGGGUAUUAAGCAAACUUACGCAUAAAAAUGAGUAUAUGUGCAAACAAUAAUUUUUAUAACAAGAGUGGAAUUCGAAGCUAAAAUUUUGCGCUUCAACAUUUAUAGUACUAAUGGCAAGGAUACGGGUUAAAUACUUAAAUCUAAUUAUUAAUUAUCAUAUUGAUCAGUUAAAUUUUUUUGGUAUUAAGAAAAUUGAUAAACUUAUAAACGAAGUAUCUGUUCAACCAAUUAAUUCUGGAAUAUGCAAGAGUUACAUGUUAAUAUCUUGUAAAAAUCGGUAAUCAAAACUAAUCGGUUUAUCUACCGAUUCAUAAUUAGGGAUUUUUUAGUCAAAUUGAAAUGUUACCGGUAAAUUGAUAAAAUAUUUUUCAAAAAUUAAUUGGAGAAUGUUCCACGAAUUAAGAAUAUUUAGAAGAGAAAUUACGAUGAAUAUGGCUAUCCCAUCACGCUGAAUAUUUUGGUGCAUCAACUCAAUAUCAUAUAUUUGUAUUAUAUUCGAUUUUUUUAAUUAAAUAAACGAAUAAGAAAAAAAGAAAUACUCAAUCUAAUUAGUUUUAGGCUUUUACUUUUUUUUUAAACCAAUUUUUAGGCUUUUACUUAACCAUCAAUCUCCUUUUGCGUGCUAAGCCAGAAGAUUCUGCGUUAAGGUGACAUAACCACGAUGAUCCUAAUGAAAAGGUGAGAGAUCAGUACCUAGUACCACAUGCAUUAAAAAAUUUAUAACGUUUCACUAAUUUUCCCUACCAGUAUAUAAAAAUAUUGCUUAUAUAUGUUUUCUAAUUUGACCUUAAAAUAUUUGAAUCGACAAUACACAUCUUUGUUUCGUUUUUCUGGGUCGGUUCUUAUAGGCUUCCGCCAUCUGACACUUUCAUCCUUCUCAAUUUCCAUUAAAAUUUGACUCCUUGGGGCAUUAAGCCUAGCAUAUUCAGUGAAUCUCGGCCCCAAUUUCUUUUUAGCAGGGGACUUUUCACCGUCGUCUCUCUUGGGGUAUUUAUUCUCAGCAUUAUAUUCCGUGUCACUCCCACGUUUUUUGAAAUUGGUGUUCGGUCCUUGAUUGUUCUGGGACUUUCUCAAACUUUCCUCCGCCUUAAUAUACUUCCCAGCUCUCUCUUGUAAGUCAUUCAUAUUGUCCGGAGCCCUCUUGGCUAAAGAUCGACGAAAAUUGUCAUCCGUGGUUCCUUGCUGGAGUGCAAUCAUGGCUACCUUCUGGUCUAAGUCCGGGACCUUCAAGGCUUCCUUAGUAAAACGAUUCAUGUAUUCACGGAGAGACUCAUUCUUACAUUGGUGCAAAUUCAUUAAUGAAGCAGAACUCUUGGCAUGGGUUUUGCUUCCCACAAACUGUCCUAUGAAUGCCCUACUCAAAUCAGCAAAACAAGAAAUGGAGUUUGGGGGUAAGCGACUAUACCAGUGUUGCGCCAUCCCGCUUAGGGUCUGAGGAAAAGCACGGCACCUGAUUGCCUCUGUUACUGGUUGGAGCAAUAGUGCGUUCAUAAAGGUCCGGACGUGGUUAGCGGGGUCACCCGUGCCGUCAUAGGCUUUGAUGGUUGGAAGCUUGAAUUUCCUGGAGAUUCUUGCAGCCAUGAUUUCUUUAGUAAACGGUGGAACGGGAUUAUCGGGAUCGCCUGCAGGCAAUAAGUGAAUCUGAUUCAUGCUUGAUCGACGAGGGUUUUCAUCCCUAGGUUCUGGAGGUUGCAUUCUUGCCUGAUCUCUCUUCAAUCGUGCAAUUUCUUCUUCAUAGGCCCGAAUUCUUUCCUCAUAAGUUAUCAGCCCCCGAGGCUCAUUAUCGUGUUGCGUAGAGCGACGUCGGCGGCUUCGAGUGUGGUCGGUAUCUCUUCUCCUUCGAGGAGGGGCUUCAUGUUCUUGCUCCGAUUCGGAAGAGUCAUAAUCAGUUAUAUGGCCAUCUUCAUUACCUCCGCGGGUAGUAGUUGUAACACUAGAAUAGUGGGUGCCGGCAUCGGUAACGGUUGCGAUCACCCGAUUUAAUGGGGGCAGCGUGCCAAAGAUCAUAGGUACGGUGGUUUGAGCAGUGGUAGUUCCGAGUGGGAUGGAGGCGGUGAUGGGGACCGUUCCGGUCGGGAUUCCGGUGGUUGGAACAUGUACUUCAGAACGUAUUCUUGGGUUUGUCAUGGUUGUUGUCUUCUUCCCACAGACGGUGCCAAAUGUUAUGGAUUAGAAAACGAGGGGUGUGAGCGAUUCGUGCUUUGGAGUGGUCUCGAUGCGAGAUGCCUACGUAUCUUCUGCUCGGAGAAGAAUCAAGUCCAAAACGUAGUUCUAUUUUGGAGGGGUAGGGCCCUUUAUAUAGAUGCUUCGGAGUCAGAAGCUGAAUGGAAGUACGAUUCCAUGUAUCAGACUUCUUAUCGAAGUAUGCUUCGGUGCCAGAGAUAAGACAGAACUCUUAUCUUCGAGUAUUAGUGUUUAUCAUGGACUCCCGGGCGUUUAUCCGUGAGAGUUAGUAGCCUUGCAGGAUUCAAGCUCGUAGCUGGACCGUUAUAUGGGCCUUGAGUCUAUCUAAAUCUUCCUCACGAUCCAUAUGUACCUGGUCUGGACCGUUAUUGGGCCGAAGCGGAAUUUGACCUGAUUAAACCGGAUACUCGGGCCUUUAUUGGAUCGGGUCGUAAUACUCAAUUAACCCAAUCCCUAUCAAGACUAUUUCUGAGUACACUUUAAUGUCGAUAUACUGUCCUAUAAUAGAUUGUUUCUGGUUUGCUUCAGGUUUGCCCUUCUUUCGUUUCCUGUCUCUCCCUGAUCAAUUCCGAGAGGGAAAAUAGUGGAGGCUGAGGGAAAAUUUUGAUAACUACAAGAUAUUAGUUGUCCUUUUACUUUGUAGGGCAACUGAAAAUUUGGAUCGAAAACAAUGAUGAAAUAGAGCACUAACACAUUUAGUUUUUAACGGAGACUAACGGAAUGACCUUUUUGCAAGUUUUAAAUGGUACAAUUAAUUGACUGAAAGCUUUUUUCACUCGGUAGGCUAAUUGAAAGUUUUAAUCGAGUACAGUGAUGAAAUAGAGCAUUAACCUCAAUAUUUAACCAGGGAUGGUAAAAUUCACGCUACUGUUUUGUCGUAUAUGAAACUGCGCUAGGAUUUUGCAAGUGCCUUUUAGUUUUUGUUGCACUAUUUUCUCAACUUGUUUUUGAGUUUCUGUUGAUGUUACAGGAAACGAAUCCCCUAUCUAGGAAGGUGUUUUCAUUACUAUGAUAAUUUAAGGUUUCUGCUGUAUUUCAUUCCCUUAUCACCGCGCUAAUAUCAUGUUUCAAGUAUUUCUUUUUUGACAAGCUUGAUUCUUUUGGUUUACAUCAGAGAUAGCGAAGGGCAGAAGGAUUUCUGCCACAGCAGAAUGGACUCAGUGUAAGUCAAUAUUAUCAUUGCAAAUCAUAUGUUUAUAUUAAUAUUAUCAUCAUUAUAAUAAGCAGUUUCAAAAAGGUAUCAUGUAAUAUAACUUAAAAAAGUGUAUGAAAGACAUCUGAAAUGUGUUAGAAAUUAAUGUAUAAACCUCUCUUGUACAUCGGUCAAUUUUUCUCAGACAUUGUUCUAUUAAAAUUUUUCGAAUAGUGAAAAAAGUAUUACGCUUGCUUAGGUCGCAUCUCUAUCUCAAGAAUGCGGACACCACACUUGGGCCUUCCACUUUUUACUUCUUUCAAAGUGAUCUCAACAUCUCUGUUCUCCCCUUUCUUAUGGAAGUAUUCACCCAACUUAACUUCUAUAGAAUCAGGAAUUCUUUUCCCCGGCUUUGUAUUUGGAUAAUGGUGAUUGCUUUUAGACUCAGCUAUUCGAGGAUCCAGAUAUAUGAUCGCUUUUGUGCUUUCUUCCCCCGGUAUCCCAAUAGAAGUCUCUAUAGGUGUGUGCAAUCCAUAGCAAACGUACUUUGACAGGAAAAACACAAGAUAAGCUUCAUAGGUCGUAUCUGGUGACAAUCCUGACGUGGGUAUUCUCCCGCAAACUUCAAGCCAAAUUACAUGACCAAGCACCGGCCCAGAAACUCUGUGUUUACAACAAUUACAACUUCAAAAACUUAUCAAGCACUUAAUUUUCACGCUUGUAAUAUAAGUGGCCAGUGUCCGACAUUCUUUAUAAAUGGAAUAAGCAAAAACAAGGAGCCCAAAAAAUAAAGCAUUAUAGAGAAGAUUCUAACCUUUUCUUCCAGUAAUCUGUAUCAAGCUGUGUGAUUGCUAGCGAGUUAUCAUUAACGUAAAGGCACAUCUUCCCGCUCCAUUUAUCUAACCAAUAGCGCGGCCAGGCGACAGGAUAGUGAGUCCAACUGAUCUGCCAGGUGACAAGAACAAAUCAACCAAAUUAAACAAAGCAGAGUCUAACACACAUGAAAUAAAGCAAGGUCAUUGUUAAGUGACCAAUUCUCCUAAAACCUCGAGAUGUCAUAUUAUAUUCUAACAUUCACCCUCACUCAAAAACCCAUUUAUGGGUCGAGAGUGGAUUACAGGCGCCCAUCAUUGAGGCAUAAACUCGUCUUGUUGAGAGGAGGGCUUAUCAAGAUCAUAUUAUGUUCUAACAGUAAUGUCGAUACUGCUGCAAUAGCUGUGGACUGAAUUAACAGUGCCUAAAUCAUUGUUACAAAUAAUAAACAAGAAAAUUACCUCAUGGCAACAGAGAAACCGAAACAAUCGUUUGCCAGAACCAAAAGUGUCUUUGCGUAGGCCCUGUAGAGCGCGUCUCCGAUGAUCAGGUGGAAUGAAUGUGUCCCAAACAACGUCAGAAUUGGCUGACGCCUGGAAACUUUUCGACACAAGUGAGAGCCUCAUCACAUCCGCAGGGCUUGUGCGUGAUAAAAUUUCUUGUGUGAAUUUUUGUCUAAACCCAUCAGGUAACUUGUUGAACAAAUCAUGAGUUUCAUCGCCCAUCUCCCUGCUACUAACAAAUUGGAUGUAAAAAAUAAAAUAGAGAGGGUAGUCAGUAGGUAAAAAAAAGGAAUAGAAGAAUUCUAUCUAUAGUCUCCAGAUUAGGUGAAAUCAACUUCUAUUUCUAUUAGGAUUCUGUUAUUGUAUCAUUGUCUAUUUCUAUUAUUUUGAAUAUAAAACAGAUUAUUAUUAUUUUUUUAUAGGAGUCUGAACCUCGCCCAGAUAAGUAUUAGAACAAAUAUUCACGUCAAUAAGCAUAUUGUAACAAACUAUAUAUUCUCAGAAGCUGCAUCCAUAAGCAAUUAUGGCAGGAGAGGGACAUGAAAUCAACUUCUAUUUCUACUAGGAUUCCUAUUCUAUUUCUGUUAUUCAGAGUAUGAAUAGAUGUAGGAUUAGGACAGGUACUCAUAUAAGUCUAAAUUGUAGAAUAAAAACUUUUAGGAUUUUCUUAUUGUAUCCUAUUCUAUUUCUGUUAUUUAGAAUAUAAAAUAGAUAUAGGAGAUUAGGACAGGUACUCAUAUAAGUCUAAAUUGUAGAAUAAAAACUAAAAAAAUUCGAUUUUGGUAGUAGGUUGGAAUCACGCCUUUCACACAUUCACGUCAAUAAGCCUGUUGUACCAGCAUCCAUAAACAGUUAUGGCAGGAGAGGGAUGUGAACACAUUGAUUUAUUCGAAAAGCUACCUCAAGAAUGCAUAGAAGAGGUUGUUUCGCGUGUUGGCCCUAUGGAGGUAUGUAGGCUGUCUGCUGUUUGUAAAAGGUUUCUAUCGGCUGCUGAAUCAGACCUCGUCUGGGACAGAUUUUUGCCCUCUGAUUAUCAACAAUUACGUGAUCGGGCCGAUGCUUUUCCCAAUAUUAAAUUUGCUCACAAGAAAGAUUUGUUUCUGUUUCUCAUCGGCAAUCAUGUCAGCAUGGAUGGAAAUACCAUGGUAAUACUUCUAUUAGUUUCUGCAAUUUUAGUGAUCGAUGCAUUUAAUUAAUUAAUAACGUUCAUGACAAUGAUUUUUUUGUCUGCUUGUUGAGUAGUGUUUUUGGUUAAGCAAGAGGACGGGGAAGAAGUGUUUUCUUACAGCUAUUUCAAUCGUAGGUGAUGUUGAAGAAGUAUAUUUCGAGGAUGACGGGCCUUACGGCUGGUCUCGUGUUAAAGAUGAAAGAUCCAGGUGCAAGCUUUUUUCUUGUUACAUACUCCCUCUGUUUUCAAAUGCUUGACAUUUGACUUUUUGACACACAAUUCUAAGAGUUUUGACGGCAUACUUAAAAUUAUUAUUUUUAAAAUUUUCUUUCUUUGAAUAAAAAUAUUAAUCUUAUGCUUUAAUUGACAAAAAGAAAAUUUUAAAAAUAUUAAUUCUAGCUAUGCAGUCAAUUCACUUAAAAGUGUGUGCACAAAAGUCAAACGUCAAGUAUUUGUAAACGGAGUAUUUAUUAUUCGACAAUACAUGCAUCAUCUUUGUUAAUUAAUUGAUGUAGUUUCAUAUGCAGGAUUCAGGGUUGUUUUACUUUAUGUGAACAUGUUGAAUUGUUCGGAAUCCAGGGAAAGAUGAGCACCUCCGUACUAUCACCAAAUACUACCUACACAAUUUAUCUUGUCUGUCAUUCGCGGAAAUAUGUUUUAAUCAACAAUUUUGAUGAACCCGUAGAAGUUUCCAUAGCGAUUGAUGGCGUUGAAAGCAUUAAACAUAUUGUUUAUCUGGACCGGCGUAAGAUGAGGUCGAAAGGGGAUAAUGAUCUCCGAUAUCCGCAACAGAGAAAAGAUGACAGGUUCGAAGUUGAGUUAGGAGAAUACUUCAACAAAGGAGGAGGAGAGGUGAGUUUGGAGAUCACUAUGACGGAAGUAAGAAGUGGCAAGUUUAAGUCUGGACCGACUAUGGAAGGCUUUGAAUUCCGACCAAUUAGGAGCACCAAUGCACUUUCAUGAUGCUCUUAUUUUAGUUUUCUUAUAUCUGUUUACCAUUGAUUUUUUAAGACCUGCACCUGAGUAAAAAGACGAUAUUAUAAAGGCAGAAGUUUUAUGUUAAUAAUAAUAGGCAUAUUUAUGUCAAAGGCUUAUACGAACUUAUAGGUAAACAUGUUUCUUGAAUAACUAAAGCAAUAAGAACUCAAUCCAAAACAACCAAAUUUAGGAAGUUGACGUGGUAUUGCAGCCUAAAGAUCUUGAAUUCUAAUGGCUACGAACAAUUCUGUCAACAUCCUUUCCACAGCCUAAAGUUCUUGAGUUUUAAUGCUAUGAACAAUUCUGUCAAGAUCAUUUCCAGCAGAUAAUACCUGCACGAGUUUGGAAGUUACAAACAUGUCAGUUGUAGUGGAACAACCAAACAUGGAGGCUACUCAGGCUAGAACAUAAUAAACAAAUAGUGUGGACUGAUUGCUAUGGGAAAAAAUAAUAAGACACGUAGAUCAUGAACACCGUCCUAGUUAAAUCAGCUUCGUCAAAAAACUUGUCCCAGACAUAAAGCUAAAGAAACAGAGGAGCAAUAUCUACGCCUAAUACCCACUGUAUUACAAAGAUAGCACAACAAAUCAAUAGCAUGGACAGAUUGUGGGAACAAAUACUAAUACAUGCCGCUCCUUAGUAAACAUUCCAGCAAUGAUAUAACUUAUAUAUAUUAUUAGAUAAUAAUCUAAAUCAGAAAACAAAUAAUCUCAGAGUCAAAAAAACCAGGGUGAUUUGGUAUUCCCCGUUUAAUCACAGAGAAUAUUCUAUUUAAGAACUUGAGAAAGCCAGCUUUUUUAUAAGCCUAUCCACAGUUUUUUAAUCGUGAUAAAACUUAAUAAUCCAAAUUAAAAUACUCAAAAUCUCAAAGCACAAAAACCAGAGCAGUCUGCUAUUCCCCAUCUAAUCACAGAGGGUAUUAUAUUUAAUAACUUACAAGGCAGAUAACAUAAGAUUCUACUCUGAAGCAAAUUUAGAGGUUUCUCCGGCUACCAAUAUCAUUGUAGACAAUAAUAACAUCCAGUUGCAUGUAUAAUCAUUUGAAUAGUUUCGAUCACACUAACUAUUCCAGGGAAAAAAAAUAUAUUCUCCUAAUUAUAUGAUCGUCACUAUGUACUAAGGAAUUCUUGAUUAAGCAUGAUUAAAAAUAGAUCAUUUUAUUAUUGGGACAAGAAUUAAGAUUACUAUACUACUACAAGGUAUUCAAUUGACCAGAAUUACUACUUGUACUGUACUACAGUCAAUAAUCUAUCUAAUCAGCUUUCAGGGGAUCUGAAAUAUUGGAUAUAGCAAAAUUAAUAUAACAGAGUACUUUGAGACAACGUAAUUUACAACUUAUAAGAUAGUAUAUCAUACCCAUUCAGCUAUUCAUCUUGAAAGAUGAAAGAAAGAAACUCUUCAUCCUCCAAAAAGAUCUGCAGAUUUUUCAUCUUCAUGAGAUACAUAAUCGCCUCACUGAAUUCCACGAGAAAACCCAACCUUAUAAGGUCUGCCAGCUGACGCGUGCGAUCUUCAUUCUCCCAUAUUAAGCCUCCAGCAACUACUUGAGAAAAUUGUGAAGCAUACUCAAUUAAAGUAUUUGGUCCCCGUCCUUGUCUAAUUUCUGCACAAAAAGCUUUGAAAUCUGUUUCUCCCAUCUGAGCAUUUGCCUGGCUUCAACAUUGAGGGUUUCACCAGAGGAGAGUGACAAUGUGUGGCGCAUUGUUAUUUUGCCCCCUGCCUCUAGGACGGUAACAUCAAGAAGUCGUCUGACAAUGUCUUGCCUAACAUCUACUUCCAUUUUGGGCGAGACGUCAGCUAGAAAGCCAAGAAUAAGCCUCAACAAUCCUUUUCCAAUAAAUACUUCCUUCGGUUUCAGCUGCUUCAGAUUGACAGCAUCCACCUCAGAGAGCUCUUGCUGUACAGAUUCAGAGAUAUUCCUAACACCUAUUUUGCUAUAAAUUUCUAGCAACUUAGUUCUAGGAAGAGAUUUCAUGCUCGGUUGGGGAUACCAAACAAAUAGUGAAUCUAAAGAAGACCUUUCAAAAAGAUCCUUCAGCUGCAGAUCAUCAGCAAUGAAUACGUCGUGUUUAUUGACCAGAUUAAUUGGACUUGAUCCUGAAUAUAAAGGCAGUUUCAACAACCGUUGAGCCAAAAUUUCUCCAGUCCUCGAGCUCCAGUUCUUUAUGACAAACUCCCAAGACCUCCAAAUCUCACAAUAGUCGUCAAUAGAGGGGUUCAAUUUUACUCCAUAGGUAAGAGAGAAAAACAUCAGCAACUUAUUAUCUUUAUAGUGCUUCUCCAGAACAUGCAACCGCGCACCCAAUAAACCAUUUUUGUC